rnacentral:lncRNA from 1 species
GAGAGAGAAAGAGGUUAGAGAGAGAAGUGAAAAAGGUGUGAAAAAUGAUGAAGUCUUUGUCUCCUUUUAUAGCCCUGCGAGGCCUCGGUACGCUGGGCGUACCUCUGACCUACGCGGGGCGUAGCCAUCGGAUAAGAGUGCCAGCUUCGCACCAGCUGGCUCGCAACGUCGGAAGAGAUAAGGCGAGGGUACGUGGGGUGUACUGGCCUCGGAUGCGGGGCGUAAGCGAAGGUGACGUGUUCUUCAUCCGAAGCGAGUCGUGAUCAGCAAGCGACGGCCUAGAUGCAGCCACGUCAUCCAUCUCGCAUCAGAUUUCGCAAUUUCCACUCCCGACUUCUAAAAAUCAUAAAUUUCGCAUACCAGCUCCGUUUUCGACGUUCUUUAUAUCCACACGAAGGUGGGAACAUACUCUACAACUUUCGUUUAGACUUUGUUGGCUAAUUUUGGCUCGAUUUUAAAUUUUAUAUUAUUAACGGGCCGGGACACGAUUGGUCCGUUAAAUCUUCAUAACUUCUUCAUCCGACAUCCGUUUUCGCCGAUCUUUUUCUCGUUACGCUACUCUCAACGAGAUCUUUGAUUCUCGUUUAGGUCGUGUCGGCUAAAAACCCCUCAAUCUAAUAUUCGAAUUUCGGGUUGUGCCUUGCUAGUCCGAAACUUCAAAAAAUCAUAACUUCUUCAUACGAAGUCAGAUUUGGGCAUUCUUUUUAUCGAUGUUCUUAGUUUAACAUAUUCUACGACUUUCGUUUAGAUCGCUAAGGCUAAAUCUCGCUUUAUCGUAAAUUCACUAUUUACGCUUCCCGGUGUCGUGCCGGUUUUGUCGCAAAACUUCGACGGGCCAUAACUUCUUCGUUAUAACUCGGAUUUCGGCGUUCUUUAUAUGUACGGAAACCUUGUGACAUACUCUACAACUUGGUUAAGAUUAUUUAUUCUAAAUAAAAUUUUGUCGAAAAGUCGUUUUCGACCCCUAUUGCCUCUAAAUUGACUAGCCCGGAUCUAUGGGCGUUACACUUAUCGAAUGAAUACGUAGUUCUAAAAUACAUAAUCCGUACUCUCGGAUCUUAAAUUUUCCUCAUUACCUAAUCCAUAUUCCCAGAUCUAAAACUAACCUCUUGAUUUCAUCCAUACUCUUAGAUCUAAAACUAACCUCCUCCUCUGAUCCAUAUUCUCGGAUCUAGAACAAGUUUAUCUCUUUAUCUGUUUAUCUCAUGGUAUCGAAUGAAUACGUAGUUCUAAAAUACAUAAUCCGUACUCUCGGAUCUUAAAUUUUCCUCAUUACCUAAUCCAUAUUCCCAGAUCUAAAACUAACCUCUUGAUUUCAUCCAUACUCUUAGAUCUAAAACUAACCUCCUCCUCUGAUCCAUAUUCUCGGAUCUAGAACAAGUUUAUCUCUUUAUCUGUUUAUCUCAUGGUCCAACCCACCUUUAUUCACCUACCAACAACCUCAUCUACUCUUGUUCUACCCAACAUAUUUUUAGAUACAAACUACAUAUAUAGUUUAACUCAUUAAAACUUAUAUAAUUCGUCCAUUCCACAAUCAUCUCAAAUAAACAACAAUAUAUUAUACACAUAGCACGUAUUUCAUAGCAAAUACCUAAUAUUUAUGUGUUAGAAGAAAGUGACCACACACUCACUUGAUUAGAAGAUGUUCGGACAGCANGUAGAAGUAGUAUUCGUCUGUAGAUCUGGAAGAUCUUCACAAAAAUUGGCUUCUCGGGAGCAGAGCUUCGGCUCGGGAAUUUCACUUAUCAGGAUCUUUGGGGCUUCAGGACUUGCUUCGGGUCUCGGGAAUGAUAUCGAGGCUUCGGGAUAUUUCUUGCACGAAAAACGAUGCAAAAAAGCGAGAGAAAGGGAAGAAAUGAGCAAAGAACUCGGCUGCACUCGACUUCCUUUUAUAGGGGGCUGGAACAACGAAUUACGCUGGGUGUAAUGUGGGUCAGCUCGUUGAGUCCCCCCCAUGGAUAAUAUCGGUUAUUUUAUAUUUAAAUUAAAUACUGAAAAUAUUUAAUAAACUUCAAAAUUUCAUAUCUUCCUCAUACGAACUCCGUUUUCGACGUUCUUUAUAUACCCGCGUAGGUGAGACUACGCUCUACAACUUUUGUUUAGACUCCGUCGGCUAAUUUUGAAUUUAUUUUUAUUAUAUUAUUUUAGUAGGCCGGGAUAGGAAUACUCCGUUAUAAAUUCAUAACUACUUCAUCCGACGUCCGUUUACGUCUAUCUUUUUAUCGUUUCACUACAAUUGACGAGAUCUUCGAUUCUCGUUUAGAUUUUUUUGGCUAAAAACCGCUUGAUGAAUGGCACAACUCCAAGGUCUCCAAUGAAGUUCUUCAGCCAUAUAGCCUCUUUCGAUGCUUCUCUUGCCACAAUGUACUCUGAUUCACACAUUGAAUCAGCCACGGUCUCAUGCUUGGAACUUUUCCAAGUUACUGCUCCUCCGUUCAGGGUAAAAUCCCAGCCCGACUACGAUCGAUAAUUAUCCUUAUCUAUCUGAAAGCUAGCGUCACUGUACCCUCGUACCCUUAAGUCAUCACUCCCACCGAGGACUAGAAACCAUUCCUUGGUCCUUCAUAUGUACUUAAGAAUAUUAUUGAAAUCAAUCCAAUGCGAACUACCAGGGUUCCCUUGAUAUCUGCUGACCAUGGUCAAAGGGAAGUCCACAUCAGGGCAAGUACAAGUCAUAGCAUACAUGAUAGAGCCAACUGCGCAGCGUUAGGUACUUGGCUCAUAUCAGCAAUUUCUGCCUCUGUACUCGGGCAUUGAGUCUUACUCAACUUGGUAUUGCUUUGAAUUGGCAACUCCCCUUUCUUUGAAUUUUCCAUACUAAAACACUUUACUACCUUAUCCAAGUAUGUAUCCUGACUGGGUCCUAUUAGUCUUUUACUUCUAUUUCUUACUAUCCUUAUUCCCAGAAUAUACGUAGCCUCUCCGAGGUCCUUCAUAGCGAAACACUUCAAAAGCCAGGACUUGACCUCCUGCAAGGUUGGGACAUCAUUUCCUAUGAGCAGUAUGUCAUCGACAUAAAAUAUGAGGAAGCUCACUAUACUCCUACUGGGCUUGACAUACACACAUGACUCAUCUUCGCUUCGCAGAAAGCCAAACUCUUUGACCUUCUCGUCAAAACAAAGAUUCCAUCUGCGAGACGCUUUGUUUAAUCCAUAAAUGGAUUUCUCAAGCUUACACACUCUAUUUGGAUGCUUCGCAUUGAUAAAACCUUCUGGCUGGCUCAUGUAAACAUCCUCAGCCAAUUUUCCAUUAAGAAAAGCGGUUUUCACGUCUAUCUUCCAUAUUUCAUAAUCAUGAAACGCAACUAUUGCGAGCAUCACCCUAACAGACUUUAUCUUGGCAAGUAGCGAGAAGGUCUCAUCAUAGUCAACUCCAGGAGUUUAAGUAAAGCCCUUUGCAACCAAUCGCGCUUUAUAAGUGUGCACAUUCCCAUCCAUGUCUGUCUUCUUCUUAAAGAUCCAUUUGCACCUGACUGUCUUACGACCCGGCACAUUAUUAACCAAAUUCCAAACUUGGUUGUCGUACAUGGACUGAAUCUCGCUGUCCAUUGCCUCUUUCCACUUAGAAUACUCUGGGCCUGCCAUGGCUUCCUUAUAUCUGUUACGUUCGUCCAAAUUUACUAGUGUCCUAUCACUAAUAAAUUUAUCCCCUUCAGUAGUUAUAUGGAAUCCAUACAACUAGGGUGGAACACUAGCCCUAUUGGAACAUCUAAGAGGUAAGGACUCGUCAACAGGUUCAACAUCCUCAGGUUGAGUGCCAGUAUUAGAAGUUCCUUCAUCGUUUUCCUGUUGAAUCUCUUCAAGAUCAAUUUGCCUCCCACUGUCCUCUUGACUUAUGAGUUCCCUUUCUUGGAAAACCCGUCUCCUCGUUCAUGUGGUAGGUCAUUCUGAACUCAUUGUAGCAGGAAGGCCAGGAGUGGAGGAUGAUGUCGAUAGCCAAAUCCUCAUCAAACUUAACAUUAAGUUUGAGAAGACGAUUAACAUACCUCUACAUUUUCUGCAAAUGCGAGGUUAGGGAUUCUCCACUCCCCAUCUUAGCGGUGAUCAUGUUAGUAAUGAUCUCAUAGCUCUCUUGCCUUGCGCUUUGCUGGUAUAUGUCCAGAAAAUCUUGAUGCAUCACAUAUGGAUACAUGUCCGCAUAGGACUUUUGGAGUUCGAGGUUCAUGGUGGCCAGCAUGAUGCAAUGAACUUUCGUAGCAUAACGCUCGUGGGCCUCAAAGGCCGCCGACUCUUCAGGAGUAGCAACAUCUAGAUUGAUCUUUUUCAACUUUCUCAUCGAGGACAUAUUCUUUGUCCUUGUAAUGAGUGAUCAUAUGAAUGUAUCUCAUCCACUCGUUGAAAUACGACCCAUCAAAUGUGACUUUUUGGCAUAUGUUCAUUAGCAAGAAUGACCCAUAAGCGUUGUUGUUUGCGUUUGUGUUAGACAUCUGAAAUAGAAAGGAACAAAGUUUGAUUAGAAUGAAUCCACAAUUAAACACCCAAAUGAGAAAUUAGGGCUAGAAUCCAACAAUAUUAUUUAUAACUUAUAAAGGGGAUGCCGUAAUCUAAAAGUAAAUAAUUUGAAGGUAAGUGAAUGACGAUUUACUAAUUUUCACCAUGAAAAUGAAAAAGAAGAUUAAGUUUUAAAUGUAUUUGAAAACUCCUAGAUCUUUGAGAUUCAUUGAACUUUUCAAUGGCAUGUUUAAAUCUCGUUAUGCACUUUAAAUUUGCAACUGGGAUACGGAGGAUUGCAAACAAGUUAUGCAUAACCAUGCGAACCAACAUGGUGCACUCAAUGUCUCUAUCACCCAAUCAAUGUGCCGGUUAGCCACGCACGCUCCAUUGAUCUAUGAGAAACAUCAAGCCACCCUUCGCCACCAAUGUCAAUCCCAAAUUAGUGUGUCGGUUAACCACGCAUGCUCCACUAACGUUUGACAAGGGUGCAAAGUGUAAUUCCAUGGAAUAGCAUCAUUUUCACAUUUUACCCUAAAGUAACUAAGAUUGGGAAUUUGUAAAACAUUAUAGUUACUUUGUAAUUUAUUUAUACUUGUAAUGAAGAAUUAAGUGCCCUAUCCUAUCCAUUCGGCUACCGACCCUCCACCAAUCAAGUAAGCGGUGGGUGUGAGUGUACACCCAUUAAGCGCCAUUUUAUAGGCAACAACCUUAUACCCACCUUAUAGACUGGCUUCGUGAAUGAGGCCUACUAGCGAUAAGACUAGCUUAUUCAUAUAGAUAUAUAAUAAUUAAUCUUGUAAUAAUAUAAUAGUAUAGGGUUGAAUUUAAAAGUUGUAAAAUUCUAAGGGUUUGAAAUUUAAAUCAAUCAAAAUUAAACUUUUAAUCAUAAAAAUAAAUUUCAAAACUUGAGGACAAGUUUUGAACUUUUCAAAACACAAGGGAUCAAAUAACAAAUAAUAUAAAUUAAACAAUUAAUUUUAUAAUUAUCUAUAUUUGACCUAAUACAAUUUUAGUCACAAGAUAAUUACCAAAUAAUUUAAAUAAUCCAUAUUUAUCAUAUAAAGAAACUAUUAUUCAAAAUAUUAGAAAUUCCCUUUUGUUUUGGUAAGGAUAAUCAUUUGCAUACAAUAAAAUUUGGAUUUUAUUAUCAAAAAAUGUUUUGGCAUUUAUCCUAUAGCAAAACAACAAGAAAAUCCUGAGAUAUGCUCCGUCUGACUCCCGAACUCGUCGAGUCAGUCCUGGACUCACCAAGUUGGGCCAACUCGCCGAGUCCAGAUACUGACUCACCGAGUUGAGUCGGGCAGAGGCCAGAAAAAUGUUUUUCAACAAAAACACAACAAUCACAUCACAUACAACAGAAACCAAUCAAGUCUCUGAUACCACUGAUGGGUUUUAUGCAUAAGAACAAUCUUAUGUGCUCAUACAAACCGUAAUGCUUGGAUCUAGGUUUCUCUAUUGUACAUGCAAUGAAUCCAAGACUUAAAAACCCUAAACUAGCAUACAUAUUUCAUAAUUUAACAUAUAGAAUCAGAUCUAGAUGUUUAGCUCUUUAAUGGAAGCUUGAAUCUUCUUUCUUAGAGCUUAGAGUAACAAUUGUAACUCCCCUAAUGGCUUACAAUCACCACAAGCAAGAAGGCAACUAUGAGAGAGGAGGGACAAUGCUUAAUUUCGGCCUAGGGUUUCUCUUGGGAAGCAAGUGGCCAAAAAUUGAAGGCUAGGGGUCUUAUUUAUACUGUAGGCUGCUAGGGUUUCAGUUUAAACCCUAAUGGAACGCUUAGUUACCAAGCAACCCAAGGAACCUUCUGGAAUAGGGCCUUGGACGAAAAUAUGAUGAUCCCAUAUCAUAAUUCCGUUCCCCCUUAGUCCAUUAGGUUUCACAGCCCAAAAGUCAACUAUCAUACAUUUGACAGUUUAUACCCCUUUAUUUAAUUAAUCUCUUUUAGUCACCAAAUUAAUUCCUAAUUAAUUUAUGACUAAUACUAACUAAAUAAAUAUGAUUUCUCCAUUAAUAUAUUAUUAUUAUAAUACAUUAAUAAAUCAUAUUAUCCUAUCUCUCAUCAAAUUACCUUGUCAAGUUGCUUUGGUGAAGGAAACCCAAAAGGACCAUGCACAACCGGGUCAAGUACAUACCAAAUAUAGUUACAGGCUUAGACACUAAUCCAACAGGAACCAUAGUGUGCAUGCUAAGAGCAUGGCACAAUUCUUGUUAUAAUUCAAGUAAGAAGUUGAUUACCCAAAACAAGAAAUAAUGAGUAAUUAAUAUGGUGAUUAAAUAAAAUGUUUUUUUACUUAUACUCAAAAGUUUGGGGCCACAUUGGAUUAGUAUUAUUCUUGUGUUUCACUUUGCAUGUUUUGACUUCUCGAAUAAUAAGAUUAUUCAAACACUCCACAGUCGCUCAUUCUUUGGAAGUAGGAGUGAAUGAAGAUUGUUAGGAAUCCGUCUGUAGAUUGACUAAAGCAUUUAGUCAUAGUACAAGUUUGCUACAGAGUUCAUGAGUGCUGCUAUAAGAUUAGAGUAUUGGAUUAAACUCACACUCACUUGAUCGCUUCAUGGAUUUUAUCACGAGUGAUUGGUGAGACGAUAAUAUCUUAUGUUCUUGAAACCGAGAUGUGUGAGUUGUAUCUUAUGAGUCGGUUACACAUUAAUAAUAUGUAAACACACUAGUAACUUGCUGUUAUAAAACGGAUUGUUGUAUGUGAUUCGGUAAGCGAGUACAAGUGAUCAUUGAGUCGAAGUUUAUCUGUUCUUUUUACCUAAAGUGGGAUAAAAAUGAUAUUUGUGGUCCCCCUCGAUGAUUUAGUGAUGACACCCUAAGCGCUUGGCCAAGCCGGGACUAUGUUGAUGUGUUCAAUUGUAGUUAAUGGUCAGUCGUCAUAAAUUGGAAAUCGGUAAAUAACACAUGAACGAAGAGUGUGAUUAAAUUCCUUAUCUCAGUUCAUACGAUAUCUAGAAGGGAGGAAUACAUGAUCCCUUAUCUAAAGUACAAGUUACUAAUAAGAUCAGAGUUCAACAACGUCUUUGAGAGCUACGAUUGCUAAUAGGAUUGUACUUACAUUAUCGUUACUAUAUUUAUCCAAGUAGAGACUGUUGGAAUAGUGUCUAAGCCCGUAACUAUAUUUGGUAUAUAUUUGACCCGGUUGUGCAUGGUCCUUUUGGGUUGCCUUCACCAAAGCAACUUGAUAGGUUGAUUUAUAGAGAAAGAGGAUUAAUUAUGAUUUGUUAACAUAUUAUAUGAAUAAUAUAUUAAAGGUGAAAUCAUAUUGUUUAAUUAGUAUUAGUCAAUAAUUAAUUGAUAGUUAAUUUUGUGACUAAAAGACAUUGAUUAAACUUAGGGGGCUGGAAUUGUAAUUAUAAGAUAAUUGUAAUUGGGCUAUGGAUCACCUUGGAACAUAGGUUGGACGAAUUAUAUGGGAAGCCCAUAAGGAAUUCAUCGAAGGGGUGUUCUAAAGGGAGUCCAUGGGCUGCUUAGGGCCUAAGGAGUCAAGUUAGGGUUUCCUAGUUGAAAACCCUAAUAGCCUCACUAUAUAAAGACCCCUAUGGCCCCAAAAAUGUUGUGGACUUUCUUGGAAGAACCCUAGGUCGUUUUUGGUGCUCCUCCUCCUUCUCAUAAGUUAUUCUCUUGCUUGUGGUGUUUGUAAGCCUUAGAGGAGUGACACUUCUGACUCUAAGCUCCAAAGAAAGAAUAUUGAAGAGAUUCAAGCCAUUCUAUAAGAGGUAACAUCUAGAUCUACUCUUAUGUGAUAAUUUCGAAAUGCACAUGCUAGAUUUGGGUUCUUGAGCCUUGGAUGAAUCGCAUGUACAAUAGAGAAACCUAGAUCCAAGCUUUAGGGUUUGCAUGAACACAUAGGAUGUUGUUUUGUAUAAAACCCAUCAGCCAGUUCCUUAGCCGUCUAGUCACUGUUCGCAUUGUACACCCCGUGUAACGAAGUUUCCACCAAGCAUACGCACUGGGCAGUUGAAUUUCGUUGACUUUUGACUUAGCUUUGGGUGUUAAAUAUUAAUUACGGUUAAUUAUUUCGUUGACUAGAAGAAGUCUAAUUCUGGCAGUUCGGCUAUGACAUUUACUUGUCAUUAGUAUCAGGUGAGUCUUCUCAGUUAUCCUUACCUCUGUGGUACAAUAGUUGUAUUUGUGAUGACCAGUUGGGUCUUCUGUUAUUUUGUGUUAUGUUGUUACGUGUGACUGAGACUAAGGACAAUCCCUCGAGUUGCUGAUAACUCAUAGGGUGUGUUGUUGCCCACUGGUAUUCUUAUAGUCCCCCAAGGUUGCUGAUAACACAUAGUUGUUUAUUUAUGUGGUGUUGUGUGUGAUAUCUUGGAGAACUCACUAAGUUUUGUGGUUACAGUUGUUGAUUUAUGUGUUUGAGGUAGUUUUGAGAAGUGCGGGAAGGCGAAUGUUUGAGUGUAUUUUUUUUCAAAAACAUUUGAUACAUUUUUCUUGCUUGUUUAAGUGAGAAUAUCUUCAAUCAUUUGACAUUAUGAUUAUUCGAGGUUGACUAUACCUUAUUCAUUGUUUAGCCUUUCAACAUGACAGGCUGUCAUUAGCACAAACUUAUUAUAAUGUUUGGCUACAAAAUUAAAGUUUUCACAAAAAGUUGAAAUUAUGAUUGUGUUAAAUGAAAUCAUAAUAAUCUUGUAUAAUGAUAAUUAUAUUUAUUUAUAAAUUUAAUUUCAUGAAGAAACUGAUUGUAAUAAUGUAAAUAAGGUAAAAUUGUACAUAUAUUUAUCGUUUUGCACCCCCUCGAGUUAAACUCUCGAUGUCUAAGAAAGCUCAACGAGAAAGAUUCAAUUUUAUGAAAGGUCUGUCCGCAAGUUCACUUGGAUGAUUUUUCGAUUACUCACACCCGAUGUUUUGAUAUGUACACAUUGUGCUAUAUUCAUUGCGACAUUGCAUUUAAAGUAUAUUUGGAUUUCUUUUUUGUUUCAAUGCAGUAUGAGUUAUAGAACAUGUCAACGACAGUUAGAAUGAAUUUUGAUAAGCAUGCAAGAAACAUAACACAUGCACAAACCUCCACUGGACGAUUGAUUCUCGAGGAUCAAGUUUGUGGGUAAAUAUCCAUUGAUGGUCGAUCAUUAAUUUCCAGAAUGACAUAGUGUAGAUGAUUUAUCAAAAUAUAUUUCUAAAAUUGGUCUAGGUUUUAACACUAAUGUUCGAUUUAAUGAGCUUACCAAAAUUAACUAUAGGUGAUGUGAUAACUGUCUCAAGCAACUCUUACACGGGAUUGCUCCAAAGAAACCCUAGACUCCUUGUUUGAUAAACAUUUUGUAUACAAAGGAGUAUUAUGACCAUUUACAAAUAUUUAAGAUCUGUUAAAAAAACUACAAAUAAAAAGCGUCAUUUUUCUUAAUGGUUGGGCUGUAUGUGACGAUAUGUACAAUUUUAGGGGAGGUUGAUGCAAAUCACCAUCGCUNAAAAAGCAAUGCAUUUUUCUGCUAUCUCAUAAACAUGGUAAUUAUGGGUGAUUCAGAAAAAUAAAUAGGACUUCUUAGGGCAGGGGUAUUUUAGGUAACUAGAUUGUUUUAGUUUCUUAUGCACGGUAAAUGAAUUAGACAAGUAGAAAGACUAAAAGAAAACUAUGUUGUUAUUACUUAGCAAUUUCUUAUAUACUUUAACAACAAUGUACAUUGAAAUAUUUGGACAUUUAUCUAAUUAUAUUUAAUUGCACUUUUUUACCUUUAAUUUUAACAAUAAUGUUUUUGUAACACCUCAAAUCUUAGACCAAUUUUUUUUUUUCAUUUUAAAUUUACCGAAAACAAGUUUCACAAAUAAAGUUAUCAAACACAUAAUAAUCCAAAACAACCGUUUUCACAAAAUAUCAGAGUUUUUGAAACUGUCCCAAACCUCUAUCCAUCCUCCCAGCGAGUGUGCACAAUCAGACAUUCGCCUUCCCGCACUUCUCAAAACUACCUGAAACACAUAAAUCAACAACUGUAACCACGAAGCUUAGUGGGUUUUCCAAGAUAUCACACACAACACUACAUAAAUAAAUAGCUAUGGGUUAUCAGCAACCUUGGGGACUAUCAACAAUACCAGCGGGCAACAACACACCUUAUGAGUUUUCAGCAACUCUAGGGACUGUCCUCAGUCUCAGUCACACGUAACAACGUAACACAAAAUAACAGCAGACCCAACUGAUCAUCAUAAAUACAACUAUUCUACCAGACAGGUAAGGAUAACUGAGGAGACUCGCCUUAUACUAUCGACAAGUAAAUGUCAUAGCCGAACUGCCAGAAUUAGACUUCUCCUAUCGAACGAAAUAAUUAACCCUACUUAGUAUUUAACAUCCAAAUCUAAGUCAAAAGUCAACGAAAUUCGACUGCUCAAUGCGUAUGCUUGGCGUAUACUUCGUUACACGGGGCGUACAAUGCGAACAGUGACCAGACGGCGAAGGAACUGGCUGAUGGGUUUUAUACAAAACAACAUCCUAUGCGCUCAUGCAAACCCUAAAGCUUGGAUCUAGGUUUCUCUAUUUUACAUGCAAUUCAUCCAAGGCUACCAAAAAUUGGCAUCCAAGUGAUCUUAGAAGAGUCCAUUUUCUCAGCUCCUAACUAUGUGUAAAAAUCCAACAAAUAUUUUCUAAAUUUUUCAUAUUGCAUUCCUAAUUUUCCCAAUUGGGCCCAAGUAUAUCCAUUAGGCCUUAUCCUAUAGCUCAAUCCAAAUAUUAUAGUCCAUAUGCUUGUUUUUGGAUUGCCCAUCAGUAGCCCAAUCACCAAAGCCCAAUAGAAAGGCCAAACUCAAGGCCAAAGCAAAAUUAGGGUUUCUCACAUGAAAUGACGAUUGGGGUUAAGUAAUCUAACUUAACCCAUUAAACACUUAAUCCAUUAAAGUCCAUCACUCUAUUAGGCCAUUCAUACAAUGUAGUUGGACACAAAUCAAAAUUCCAGUAUAAUAGUCCAAACGCGUGUCCCGACAAUUCCCAAAGUAACAUUCCCAGAGUUAGGGUUUUAUAAACCCUAAUUAGGGUUUCCAAUCCAAUCACAAUCCUACUGAGUCCAAGAUUAAGCAACUAGGCCAAUUAGGGUUCCACAAGGCCAGACACCACCCACUGCCACCUCGGCGGUGGUGGUCGGCAACAGCCAUAAUUUGCAAUGGUGGUGGUGGUGGUAGUUCCUGCCCAAAAAUUCCUUAUACCACUUCACACAUAAUAUACACACACACACGUAGCCACUAGAGUUGGUGGUUAGUGGUGGAAAAACGGUGGCAGCCACCACCUCAUGGUGGUGGUGACGGACCUUCAUUGAUUUUCCGGCCAAAAAUGGCUCAUACAGCAACAAUAACACUGAAAACAACAUAUAUUCUAGACAUACAUCCACCCAGCCACCUUCCAUGCGGCUGAUUUUUCCGGAAAGUUACGAAACCAGUUGCCAAAGGCCACCGACGGCAGCGGUGAAGCAUCUGAUGUCGAACACGCACAAAGGGACGGAGGAAAGGAGGGAGACAAGUGGCAGAUGGUCUUACCUGAAGCCUCUCGGUAGGUCACGCCCUUGCUGCAGUGAACACGUCCUUUUGUCGACCAUCAGCGGUUUUCCGGGUUGUUUACGAUGUCUCCGGCAGCGACGUUGUGGCAUUUAGAUGGCGAUGGAUCGGCGGCAACGACGUUGUGGCGUGUAGGUGGAGUUUCGUUUUAUCUGGACGCAUCUAAGUAGUUUACUGAACCGUACCUUUUUUUAGAUUAACGAAUACAAGAAAAUGUUAGUUUGGUUAUUACAAUCUUUUAGUUUGAUGCAUAACUCUUGAUGUUGUUCCCAUUCAUAUUUUCAUUGAGAUAAAAAGUGUGCAAGUAUAAAACUAAUUUUGCUUCAUACUUUUUCUUAUAAUGAUGAGUUUAAAGGUGAUUAUGAAAUAAAAAAUGAUUGUGAUAUCAUCGAUCCAUUGAAGGUUUAUUAUCACCUUUAAAGUUAUUUAUUAUUAAUUUUUUUACAUAAAAAGUUUUUUUAAUCUACUUUAGGUAUGGUUAUAGAAGACUAAGUUUAUUUUACUUGGAACAAUCUAAGUACUUAGAAAGGUCUAUGCUUGGUUUUAUGAUGCUUGUAUUAGACGUGGAAAGAAGGUUAUAGAGGUGUAUAGUAUUGAUUAUACAUCUGAUUCCCAAAAAGGCAUAUCAUAUAUACAACGGAUUUCCGACGGCUAUGGCAAAUUUUAGCAACGAAUUUUUAGGUCGGUUAUUAGUACCGAUCAAUGACGAAUAUACUUUUUUGUAAAAAUUACCAAAAGAAUAACUCACUAACGAACUAUCGAUGAAAUUUAAUAAAAACUCACUAAUAGAUCACAUAUAGAUUUUAUGUGAUAGGCUAGCGGCGACUUUUGUAUAUAAAAAAAAAUAUAAAUUCAUGAAAAAAUUAACAAUAAUUACAUAUUUAACAAAGGAAAAAUCUUGAAACAUACAUCAAAUCUGUAUUUUAAAACCAUCAAAUAUAAAUCCACCAGUUGGGUAUUCAUUAUUCAUUCAUUCUUUGUUUACUUUACUUCUCCAUGCAAAGACAAAAUCCAAAACAAUCUUGAAAAUUAAUUCCACCUUGAGGACCCACCACCUCCAUUUCUAACAAAGAUGUUCCUUAGAAUGUCAGCAUUCAUUAGAAACAUGUUUCCCAAGGAAAACAAUCCACUUCUUAUCGGAAUAUGUGAUUCGGAUUCCGAUCCCUCCGAAAUGAGAAGACACCUUCAGAUCAACAAUCUCAUACUAAAUCGAGUGAAAACGAUGGAAAUUUUAGCAAAUUUAGAUUCAAAUUAACACACCUUCAGAUACAUCUUCUUGUGUUCCCUCAAACACCGUAUAUGAUAUUCCCUUUCACACUGCAAGGAGGAUAAAUCUAACAAUCAGAAAUCAAAACGCAGCAUAAUUGGAUUUUUUUGAAUGACCAUUUAUCCUUGUACCAAAACUAAAACAAGCACUAUACUACAGGGACCAAAUUUAUUGAUAUAUAUUUAAGGAAUGAGCAUGUCAAGAUCUAGUGAUCAGAUAUGCAACUUCUGUCAACAUUGCCAUCAUCUCCAAACAUCAUUCAGUAAGAAUGGAACAAGAUGUCAGAUUUAGACCUUACUUAAGCGUUACUUGAUAUAGCAUAAAUUGGAAAGUUGAGAAUUAAAAAUUUAUUGGCAUCAAAACAAUUACAUAAGAAAACGUUUUAUAAACUUACCUUUGAAAGGAGAACAGCAAUACAUGUGAAGCCUUUUUGUUACAAUCAAUGAAAACCUGCAGAAAUAAAAUAAAUGGUAAUCUACUGAUUAAUCUGUAGCAGCCGUGUAAAAGAAUAAUAAAAACACUACUUUAUAGUUUAUAGUUUAUACUCACAUGAAACAUUCACAUGAAAGAUAUCAAAAGCUUAUGAACAUUUUGUUAUCAUCAGAAACAUCUUUGCCAAGGAACACAAUCCACUUGACAUCAGAAAGGGUAAGGUACAGUGGCCUGGAGAAACCCACAAAACCAACCCUUGAAAUGCUAUGAACACCUAACUGGUACCGAUCUGAUUCAACUAGACUGACAACAGAUCAAGAAAGUGUGAGUCACAGGAGAACAGCAUAUAUAAACUUCGAAACUACAAAAAAAAAGGACAAAACAGCUUCAAAACACAUGAUUCAGAAUGAUAACUUACAUGGUUUUUCUUACAAAAUAUUGCGGAUCUUUGCUAGUUUUUUGAUCUGUGUGCAUGAUAGAGAAUUUUUUUUUUGAAAUCAACAAAUAAAAGUCUUGGUGAUUUGCAUGACCCAAAAGACACAGAUCGAUAACUUUAUCAAACCAAUGCAUGAUUUUCAGAUAUGCAUUAUCCUCCUAAGCUCUUAAUUAUUUGUGAAUAGUUUGAUGUUUGGAUCCUGGAUCUAGAUUCAGUUGAUUAUGACAGCGGCUGUGGAUCCUCAACAUCUAAUAUAUAUAGUAAGAAAAGUGUGGGCGUCAACCCUAAUCCUGAUCUCUAGCGAUGGUGAUUUGCAUCAACCUCCCCUAAAAUUGUACAUAUCGUCACAUACAGCCCAACCAUUAAGAAAAAUGACGCUUUUUAUUUGUAGUUUUUUUAACAGAUCUUAAAUAUUUGUAAAUGGUCAUAAUACUCCUUUGUAUACAUAACUAUUUUUUUAACGGUUCUUAUUUGUAAAUGGCCACACUAUCUUUAUUUGUAUUUUUUUUCAAAAACAUUUGAUACAUUUUUCUUGCUUGUUUAAGUGAGAAUAUCUUCAAUCAUUUGACAUUAUGAUUAUUCGAGGUUGACUAUACCUUAUUCAUUGUUUAGCCUUUCAACAUGACAGGCUGUCAUUAGCACAAACUUAUUAUAAUGUUUGGCUACAAAAUUAAAGUUUUCACAAAAAGUUGAAAUUAUGAUUGUGUUAAAUGAAAUCAUAAUAAUCUUGUAUAAUGAUAAUUAUAUUUAUUUAUAAAUUUAAUUUCAUGAAGAAACUGAUUGUAAUAAUGUAAAUAAGGUAAAAUUGUACAUAUAUUUAUCGUUUUGCACCCCCUCGAGUUAAACUCUCGAUGUCUAAGAAAGCUCAACGAGAAAGAUUCAAUUUUAUGAAAGGUCUGUCCGCAAGUUCACUUGGAUGAUUUUUCGAUUACUCACACCCGAUGUUUUGAUAUGUACACAUUGUGCUAUAUUCAUUGCGACAUUGCAUUUAAAGUAUAUUUGGAUUUCUUUUUUGUUUCAAUGCAGUAUGAGUUAUAGAACAUGUCAACGACAGUUAGAAUGAAUUUUGAUAAGCAUGCAAGAAACAUAACACAUGCACAAACCUCCACUGGACGAUUGAUUCUCGAGGAUCAAGUUUGUGGGUAAAUAUCCAUUGAUGGUCGAUCAUUAAUUUCCAGAAUGACAUAGUGUAGAAUAUUUAUCAAAAUAUAUUUCUAAAAUUGGUCUAGGUUUUAACACUAAUGUUCGAUUUAAUGAGCUUACCAAAAUUAACUAUAGGUGAUGUGAUAACUGUCUCAAGCAACUCUUACACGGGAUUGCUCCAAAGAAACCCUAGACUCCUUGUUUGAUACUAUAUACUCCACCGCUAACGUUCAAUAUUCCUCAAUAAACAACAAAAGGGAAACAAAACAAGUGGUAUUUAGGGGUAAAAUGACCAUUUUUACCAUCUUACUUUACUACAAUGCUAUAUUGCUAUUUUACACAAUUACUUAUACUCACAUUAUGUGCAAAAAAAAAAGCAAUGCAUUUUUCUGCUAUCUCAUAAACAUGGUAAUUAUGGGUGAUUCAGAAAAAUAAAUAGGACUUCUUAGGGCAGGGGUAUUUUAGGUAACUAGAUUGUUUUAGUUUCUUAUGCACGGUAAAUGAAUUAGACAAGUAGAAAGACUAAAAGAAAACUAUGUUGUUAUUACUUAGCAAUUUCUUAUAUACUUUAACAACAAUGUACAUUGAAAUAUUUGGACAUUUAUCUAAUUAAAUUUAAUUGCACUUUUAUACCUUUAAUUUUAACAAUAAUGUUUUUGUAACACCUCAAAUCUUAGACCAAUUUUUUUUUUCAUUUUAAAUUUACCGAAAACAAGUUUCACAAAUAAAGUUAUCAAACACAUAGUUAUCCAAAACAACCGUUUUCACAAAAUAUCAGAGUUUUUGAAACUGUCCCAAACCUCUAUCCAUCCUCCCAGCGAGUGUGCACAAUCAGAAAUUCGCCUUCCCGCACUUCUCAAAACUACCUGAAACACAUAAAUCAACAACUGUAACCACGAAGCUUAGUGAGUUUUCCAAGAUAUCACACACAACACCACAUAAAUAAAUAGCUAUGGGUUAUCAGCAACCUUGGGGACUAUCAACAAUACCAGUGGGCAACAACACACCUUAUGAGUUAUCAGCAACUCUAGGGACUGUCCUCAGUCUCAGUCACACGUAACAACGUAACACAAAAUAACAGCAGACCCAACUGAUCAUCAUAAAUACAACUAUUCUACCAGACAGGUAAGGAUAACUGAGGAGACUUGCCUUAUACUAUCGACAAGUAAAUGUCAUAGCCGAACUGCCAGAAUUAGACUUCUCCUAGCGAACGAAAUAAUUAACCCUACUUAGUAUUUAACAUCCAAAUCUAAGUCAAAAGUCAACGAAAUUCGACUGCUUAAUGCGUAUGCUUGGCGUACACUUCGUUAUACGGGGCGUACAAUGCGAACAGUGACCAGACGGCGAAGGAACUGGCUGAUGGGUUUUAUACAAAACAACAUCCUAUGCGCUCAUGCAAACCCUAAAGCUUGGAUCUAGGUUUCUCUAUUUUACAUGUAAUUCAUCCGUGGCUACCAAAAAUUGGCAUCCAAGUGAUCUUAGAAGAGUCCAUUUUCUCAGCUCAUAACUAUGUGUAAGAAUCCGACAAAUAUUUUCUAAAUUUUUCAUAAUGCAUUCCUAAUUUUCCCAGUUGGGCCCAAGUAUAUCCAUUAGGCCUUAUCCUAAAGCUCAAACCAAAUAUUAUAGUCCAUAUGCUUGUUUUUGGAUGGCCCAUCAGUAGCCCAAUCACCAAAGCCCAAUAGAAAGGCCAAACUCAAGGCCAAAGCAAAAUUAGGGUUUCUCACAUGAAAUGAUGAUUAUGGUUAAGUAAUCUAACUUAACCCAUUAAACACUUAAUCCAUUAAAGUCCAUCACUCUAUUAGGCCAUUCAUACAAGGUAGUUGGACAUAAAUCAAAAUUCCAAUAUAAUAGUCCAAACGCGUCUCCCGACAAUUCCCAAAGUAACAUUCCCAGAGUUAGGGUUUUAUAAACCCUAAUUAGGGUUUCCAAUCCAAUCACAAUCCUACUGAGUCCAAGAUUAAGCAACUAGGCCAAUUAGGGUUCCACAAGGCCAGACACCACCCACUGCCACCUCGGCGGUGGUGGUUGGCAGCAGACACCAUUUGCAAUGGUGGUGGUGGGGGGGGGUUCCGNUUGCAAUGGUGGUGGUGGUGGUGGUUCCUGCCCAAAAAUUGCAUAUACCACUUCACACAUAAUACACACACACACACACGUAGCCACUAGAGAUGGUGGUUAGUGGUGGAAAAACGGUGGCAGCCACCACCUCAUGGUGGUGGUGACGGACCUUCAUUGAUUUUCCGGCCAAAAAUGGCUCAUACAGCAACAAUAACACCAACAACAACAUAUAUUCUAGACAUACAUCCAUCCAGCCACCUUCCAUGCGGCUGAUGUUGCCGGAAAGUUACGAAAAUAGUUGCCAAAGGCCACCGACGGCAGCGGUGAAGCAUCUGAUGUCGAACACGCACAAAGGGACGAAGGAGAGGAGGGAGACAAGUGGCAGAUGGUCUUACCUGAAGCCUCUCGGUAGUUCGCACCCUUGCUGCAGCGAACACGUCCUUUUGUCGACCAUCAGCGGUUUUCCGGGUUGUUUACGACGUCUCCAGCAGCGACGUUGUGGCAUUAAGAUGGCGAUGGAUCGGCGGCAGCGGCGUUGUGGCGUGUAGGUGGAGUUUCAUUUUAUCUGGACGCAUCUAAGUAGUUUACUGAGCCGUACCUUUUUUUAAAUUAACGAAUACAAGAAACUGUUAGUUUGGUUAUUACAAUCUUUUAGUUUGAUGCAUAACUCUUGAUGUUGUUCCCAUUCAUAUUUUCAUUGAGAUAAAAAGUGUGCAAGUAUAAAACUAAUUUUGCUUCAUACUUUUUCUUAUAAUGAUGAGUUUAAAGGUGAUUAUGAAAUAAAAAAUGAUUGUGAUAUCAUCGAGCCAUUGAAGGUUUAUUAUCACCUUUAAAGUUAUUUAUUAUUAAUUUUUUUACAUAAAAAGUUUUUUUAAUCUACUUUAGGUAUGGUUAUAGAAGACUAAGUUUAUAUUACUUGGAACAAUCUAAGAAAUUAGAAAGGUCUAUGCUUGGUUUUAUGAUGCUUGUAUUAGACGUGGAAAGAAGGUUAUAGAGGUGUAUAGUAUUGAUUAUACAUCUGAUUCCCAAAUAGGCAUAUCAUAUAGGCAACGGAUUUCCGACGGCUACGACAAAUUUUAGCAACGAAUUUUUACGUUGGUUAUUAGUAACCGAUCAAUGACGAAUAUACUUUUUUGUAAAAAUUAUCAAAAGAAUAACUCACUAAUGGACUAUCGAUGAAAUUUAAGAAAAAAUCACUAAUAGAUCACAUAUUGUAACAGCCAGGAAUUCCAGGUAUUGUUAUAUUUACGAUUUUGGGUGUUUUAAGAGGGGACUCGGCGAGUUGGAGCCUAGACUCGCCGAGUAGGAUCGCGGAACUGGUCGCGGGUUCGCGACUGGACUUGACGAGUCCGGAUAUGGACUCGGCGAGUCUGCGCUGUUUAGCGAAAACCCUAACCGUUCAGGUUUGGGACGUAUAUAAGGGACCUUAUGGCCGUCAUUGUUCACCCUAGUCCUUUGAGAGAAACCCUAAUUCGAUUGUGAGCAUUAGGAGCAAGGUCGAAGACUAUUGUUGAUUUUGGAAGUGUUGCUUUGCAAGGAAGAGGAGCUUGGUUAAGGGAACAACAAGGGAAGCCACGUUCUGAGGAUUGGGGACACAGAGAGCACGUUAUUCAGGUAACAUUUCGAGUUGCAUCCUUCUAUGUUGAUGUGUAUAUGGAUUUAGGGUUUAUUGAACCCUUUUGUGGCUAGAUUAAGUGUUACCUUAGUCCCCCAAACGAUUGGAACCCUGUAUUGGGAUCUUUAGAAGUCCAGAAUCUCCCAUGCCUGAGCAUUUCGGGAAUCAAUGGAGGUUUUGGAUUGGAAUCCUUAUGCCUUAAGACAAAAUUUAAAUUAUGAGUCAUGGGGUGUAUUAUGAGCACCGAAAUGAGGACCUUACGUGAUGAAUCAGUCUAGGAAGGCCAAACCUAUGAAUGGUCGGAGCAGUUCUGACCUUAGAAAGUAGUUUGAGCGGUUGCAUGGCAUGGACUCGCCGAGUCCGAUGAACAGACUCGGCGAGUAGCUUGAAGAUUAACUGGGACUCGUCGAGUUGUUCUUCAGACUCGGCGAGUUGAGUCGGGGUGGCCCNGUCGGGGUGGCCCGCGAUUCGUCCAGGAGGAACUCGUCGAGCCGAGGGGGAUACUCGACGUGAGAAAGGGAAUCUUAGAGAAUCGGCGAGUCAAGGGCGAGUGGACUCAGAGUUAUCGAACUCGGCGAGUCUNNNNNNNNNNNNNNNNNNNNNNNNNNNNNNNNNNNNNNNNNNNNNNNNNNNNNNNNNNNNNNNNNNNNNNNNNNNNNNNNNNNNNNNNNNNNNNNNNNNNAGCAUUUCAAGGGUUGGUUUUGUGGGUUUCUCCAGGCCACUGUACAUUAGCUUACCCUUUCAAAGGUAAGUUUAUAAAACGUUUUCUUAUGUAAUUGUUUUGAUGCCAAUAAAUUUUUAAUUCUCUACUUUCCAAUUUAUGCUAUAUCAAGUAACGCUUAAGUAAGAUCUAAAUCUGACAUCUUGUUCCAUUCUUACUGAAUGAUGUUUGGGGAUCAUGGCAAUGUUGACAAAAGUUGCAGAUCUGAUCACUAGAUCUUGACAUGCUCAUUCCUUAAAUAUAUAUCAAUAAAUUUGGUCCCUGUAGUAUAGUGCUUGUUUUAGUUUUGGCACAAGGUUAAAAUGGUCAUUCAAAAAAAUCCAAUUAUUCUGCUUUUUCAUUUCUGAUUGUUAGAUUUAUACUCCUUGCAGUGUGGAAGGGAAUAUCAUAUACCGUGUUUGAGGAAACACAAGAAGAUGUAUCUGAAGGUGUGUUAAUUUGAAUCUAAAUUUGCUAAAAUUUCCGUCGUUUUCACUCGAUUUAAUAUGAGAUUGUUGAUCUGAAGGUGUCUUCUCAUUUCGGAGGGAUCGGAAUCGGAAUCACAUAUUCCGAUGUGAAAUGGAUUGUUUUCCUUGGGAAAGAUGUUUCUAAUGAAAGGUGACAUUCUAAGGAACAUUUUUGUUAGAAAUGGAGGUGGUGGGUCCUCAAGGUGGAAUUACUUUUCAAGAUUGUUUUUGUUUUUGUCUUUGCAUUGAGAAGUAAAGUAAACAAUGAAUGAAUGAAUAAUGAAUACCCAAUUGGUGGAUAUAUAUUUGAUGUUUUUAAAAUAUAGAUUUGAUGUAUGUUUCAAGAUUUUUCCUUUGUUAAAUAUGUAAUUAUUAUUAAUUUUUUCAUGAAUUUAUAUUUUUUUUAUAUACAAAAGUCGCCGCUAGCCUAUCACAUAAAAUCUAUAUGUGUAACGUCCAAAAUUUCAAAACAAUUAAAACUUUUCAAAAACCACUCAUUUUAAUAAAGUUAUUACAAAAAGGUUUCAAUACAUUAUUUAACAGAGUAUUCUCCCAGGUUCACAUCAANNNNNNNNNNNNNNNNNNNNNNNNNNNNNNNNNNNNNNNNNNNNNNNNNNNNNNNNNNNNNNNNNNNNNNNNNNNNNNNNNNNNNNNNNNNNNNNNNNNNACAAAAUCGGUCUUUUCUGGCCGUGAAAUUGGGGAUGUCACAGCUGCCACCGUUUUGCCACCACUAACCACCAUCUCUGGUGGCUAUGUGUGUGUGUAUAUUAUGUGUGAAGUGGUAUAUGCAAUUUUGGGGCACGAACCACCACCACCACCACCACCAUUGCAAAUGGUGGCUGCUGCCAACCACCACNCACCUCCGAGGUGGCAGUGGGUGGUGUCCGGCCUAAUAGAAGCCUAAUUGGCCCAGUAGCUUAAUCUUGGACUCAGUAGGAUGUGAUUGGAUUGGAAACCCUAAUUAGGGUGUAACACCGUGAAUUUUCAAAAUAAUUUUUGACAAAUAUAUAAAAACAUUUCCCAUUUAAUUUUCAUAAAACAUUAAGUUUAAAAUCUCAAUUCACAUCAUACAAAAUCCCAAGAUCAUAUAUAUAUCCAAAAUCCCAUGCGUGUGUACAGAUCAAGCCGGCGCCUUCCCACGGUCAUCGCUAGUACCUGAAACAACAACACUAACACUGUAAGCACAAAGCUUAGUGAGUUCCCCAAAAUACCACAUAAACAUAUAUUAGCCACUCGAGGCUAUAACUCUAUGGGUCCGUGCACCCAAGCUCUGUGAACCCUCAGGUUCUAACUCUGGGAACCUUCCGGUUCCAACUCUAUAAACAUGCACAACAUAAAUCACAUAGACAUCAUGCAGUACAACACAUAGCAUACACAUAACAUACACAUACUCUGUCACAUAACUCUGAUUACCUACUCAAGGUAAAGUAUAGUGAGAAGACUCACCUCGUAUAUCUCGAUAACUCGCGAAUCCUGGAAAUCACUCGUGCUCGAUCCUCCGAGCUAUAAUCCUCCUAUAACAUCAUAUAUCUCUAAUUAACACUUUUACCACUAAGGUUGACUACCCCUAUCAAGUCAACACUGGUCAACUCUGGUCAACGGUCAACGGUCAACUUUGACCGGACUCGGCGAGUGCACUAGGGCGACUCGGCGAGUCUAAGCGUUUUCACCAACUCUCUAGGAUUCCCUUUUUGACACGUCGAGUAUUCCCCUGACUCGACGAGUUCCACCUGGUAUGAAUCGCGGGGCCACCCCGACUCAACUCGCCGAGUCUCAAGAACAACUCGGCGAGUCCCAGCUCGACUCAGUCCACCUGUCAACCCUCUCUAACUCUCCCUGACUCACUGAGUCAACCCAUAACUCAGUAGGACCACUCACUGAGUGGUUAAGGACAAUCUUCAUGCUACUCGCCGAGUCUGUUCUUCAGACUCGGCGAGUCCAUGCCAUGCAUCAACUCAAACUUGCUUCUGAGGUCAGAUCCGUUCCAACAACUCAUAGAUCUGGCCCUCCUAAGCUUAUUCAUCAUGUAAAGUCCAUAUCUUGGUGCUCAUAACACACCCCAUGACUCAUAAAUGGUGUUUUGACCUCAAGCACAAAGACCCCAAUCCAAAACCCCCAUGGAUUCAUAAAAAGCUUGGGCAAAGGGACACUCUGGACCUCCAAAGGUCCAGAUCUAGAACCUAACUCGCUUAAGGGACCAAGGAAGCACUAGAUCUAGCCACAAAAGGGCUCAACAAGCCCUAAAUCAAUAUAAACAUCAACAUAACAGAGAAUAGCUCGAAGGUAGUACCUCAAAUGUGAUGUUCUGGACCUCAAAUCUUCACGAAGUGGCUCCUCUUGGUUCCCUUUAGCUAUUGCUUCCUUUCCCUUGCAAGAUGACACCUCCAAGGUCAAGAAUGGCUUCAUGCUUUGCUCCAAACGCUCAAACUUGCUAGGGUUUCACUCAGGGGACUGGUGAGCACAAAUGACGGCCUUAAGGCCCUUUAAAUAGGUCCCAAACCCGAGAAAUUAGGGUUUUUAAACAGCANNNNNNNNNNNNNNNNNNNNNNNNNNNNNNNNNNNNNNNNNNNNNNNNNNNNNNNNNNNNNNNNNNNNNNNNNNNNNNNNNNNNNNNNNNNNNNNNNNNNNNNNNNNNNNNNNNNNNNNNNNNNNNNNNNNNNNNNNNNNNNNNNNNNNNNNNNNNNNNNNNNNNNNNNNNNNNNNNNNNNNNNNNNNNNNNNNNNNNNNNNNNNNNNNNNNNNNNNNNNNNNNNNNNNNNNNNNNNNNNNNNNNNNNNNNNNNNNNNNNNNNNNNNNNNNNNNNNNNNNNNNNNNNNNNNNNNNNNNNNNNNNNNNNNNNNNNNNNNNNNNNNNNNNNNNNNNNNNNNNNNNNNNNNNNNNNNNNNNNNNNNNNNNNNNNNNNNNNNNNNNNNNNNNNNNNNNNNNNNNNNNNCAUCCACCUAAAUAUCCUCUAAUGGAACCACUGCCGACUCAUCGGCUAUACACUUCCUCAGCUACGACACAUGAAAAGUGUUGUAAAUUUUCCCCAACUCUGCUGGCAAAUCCAAACGAUCGGCUACACGGCCUACCCUCGCGAUCACACAGAAUGGACCAAUAUAUCGGGGCCCCAACUUGCCCCUCUUCUUGAAUCGAAUCACUCCUUUCGAAGGAGAGACCUUCAGGAGAACAAAGUCGCUGACCUAGAACUCAAGCUCUUCGUCAACCUGGCCAUAAUCACCCAAAUUGCAUCAACUCCUCUAGCAGUCCUCGGCAAUUUNNNNNNNNNNNNNNNNNNNNNNNNNNNNNNNNNNNNNNNNNNNNNNNNNNNNNNNNNNNNNNNNNNNNNNNNNNNNNNNNNNNNNNNNNNNNNNNNNNNNUUCACAUGUAUUGCUGUUCUCCUUUCAAAGGUAAGUUUAUAAAACUUUUUCUUAUGUAUUUGUUUUGAUGCCAAUAAAUUUUUAAUUCUCAACUUUCCAAUUUAUGCUAUAUCAAGUAACGCUUAAGUAAGGUCUAAAUCUGACAUCUUGUUCCAUUCUUACUGAAUGAUGUUUGGAGAUGAUGGCAAUGUUGACAGAAGUUGCAUAUCUGAUCACUAGAUCUUGACAUGCUCAUUCCUUAAAUAUAUAUCAAUAAAUUUGGUCCCUGUAGUAUAGUGCUUGUUUUAGUUUUGGUACAAGGAUAAAUGGUCAUUCAAAAAAAUCCAAUUAUGCUGCGUUUUGAUUUCUGAUUGUUAGAUUUAUCCUCCUUGCAGUGUGAAAGGGAAUAUCAUAUACGGUGUUUGAGGGAACACAAGAAGAUGUAUCUGAAGGUGUGUUAAUUUGAAUCUAAAUUUGCUAAAAUUUCCAUCGUUUUCACUCGAUUUAAUAUGAGAUUGUUGAUCUGAAGGUGUCUUCUCAUUUCGGAGGGAUCGGAAUCGGAAUCACAUAUUCCGAUGAGAAGUGGAUUGUUUUCCUUGGGAAAGAUGUUUCUAAUGAAUGCUGACAUUCUAAGGAACAUCUUUGUUAGAAAUGGAGGUGGUGGGUCCUCAAGGUGGAAUUAAUUUUCAAGAUUGUUUUGGAUUUUGUCUUUGCAUGGAGAAGUAAAGUAAACAAAGAAUGAAUGAAUAAUGAAUACCCAAUUGGUGGAUUUAUAUUUGAUGGUUUUAAAAUACAGAUUUGAUGUAUGUUUCAAGAUUUUUCCCUUGUUAAAUAUGUAAUUAUUGUUAAUUUUUUGAUGAAUUUAUAUUUUUUUUUUAUAUACAAAAGUCGCCGCUAGCCUAUCACAUAAAAUCUAUAUGUGAUCUAUUAGUGAGUUUUUCUUAAAUUUCAUCGAUAGUCCGUUAGUGAGUUAUUCUUUUGGUAAUUUUUACAAAAAAGUGUAUUCGUCAUUGAUCGGUACCAAUAACCGACCUAAAAAUUCGUUGCUAAAAUUUGCCAUAGCCGUCGGAAAUCCGUUGCAUAUAUGAUAUGCCUUUUUGGGAAUCAGAUGUAUAAUCAAUACUAUACACCUCUAUAACCUUCUUUCCACGUCUAAUACAAGCAUCAUAAAACCAAGCAUAGACCUUUCUAAGUUCUUAGAUUGUUCCAAGUAAAAUAAACUUAGUCUUCUAUAACCAUACCUAAAGUAGAUUAAAAAAACUUUUUAUGUAAAAAAAUUAAUAAUAAAUAACUUUAAAGGUGAUAAUAAACCUUCAAUGGAUCGAUGAUAUCACAAUCAUUUUUUAUUUCAUAAUCACCUUUAAACUCAUCAUUAUAAGAAAAAGUAUGAAGCAAAAUUAGUUUUAUACUUGCACACUUUUUAUCUCAAUGAAAAUAUGAAUGGGAACAACAUCAAGAGUUAUGCAUCAAACUAAAAGAUUGUAAUAACCAAACUAACAUUUUCUUGUAUUCGUUAAUCUAAAAAAAGGUACGGUUCAGUAAACUACUUAGAUGCGUCCAGAUAAAAUGAAACUCCACCUACACGCCACAACGCCGCUGCCGCCGAUCCAUCGCCAUCUAAAUGCCACAACGUCGCAGCCGGAGACAUCGUAAACAACCCGGAAAACCGCUGAUGGUCGACAAAAGGACGUGUUCACUGCAGCAAGGGCGCGACCUACCGAGUGGCUUCAGGUAAGACCAUCUGCCACUUGUCUCCCUCCUCUCCUCCGUCCCUUUGUGCGUGUUAGACAUCAGAUGCUUCAGCGCUGCCGUCGGUGGCCUUUGGCAACUGUUUUCGUAACUUUCCGGCAACAUCAGCCGCAUGGAAGGUGGCUGGGUGGAUGUAUGUCUAGAAUAUAUGUUGUUUUCGGUGUUAUUGCUGCUGUAUGAGCCAUUUUUGGCCGGAAAAUCAAUGAAGGUCCGUCACCACCACCAUGAGGGCGGCUGCCNUUCCACCACUAACCACCAUCUCUAGUGGCUACGUGUGUGUGUGUGUGUAUUAUGUGUGAAGUGGUAUAUGCAAUUUUUGGGCAGGAACCACCACCACCACCACCAUUGCAAAUGGUGUCUGCUGCCGACCACCACCGCCGAGGUGGCAGUGGGUGGUGUCUGGCCUUGUGGAACCCUAAUUGGCCUAGUUGCUUAAUCUUGGACUCAGUAGGAUUGUGAUUGGAUUGGAAACCCUAAUUAGGGUUUAUAAAACCCUAACUCUGGGAAUGUUACUUUUGGAAUUAUCGGGACACGCGUUUCGACUAUUAUACUGGAAUUUUGAUUUAUAUCCAACUACAUUGUAUGAAUGGCCUAAUAGAGUGAUGGACUUUAAUGGAUUAAGUGUUUAAUGGGUUAAGUUAGAUUACUUAACCCUAAUCGUCAUUUCAUGUGAGAAACCCUAAUUUUGCUUUGGCCUUGAGUUUGGCCUUUCUAUUGGGCUUUGGUGAUUGGGCUACUGAUGGGCAAUCCAAAAACAAGCAUAUGGACUAUUAUAUUUGGAUUGAGCUUUAGGAUAAGGCCUAAUGGAUAUACUUGGGCCCAAUUGGGAAAAUUAGGAAUGCAUUAUGAAAAAUUUAGAAAAUAUUUGUCGGAUUCUUACACAUAGUUAGGAGCUGAGAAAAUGGACUCUUCUAAGAUCACUUGGAUGCCAAUUUUUGGUAGCCUUGGAUGAAUUGCAUGUAAAAUAGAGAAACCUAGAUCCAAGCUUUAGGGUUUGCAUGAGCGCAUAGGAUGUUGUUUUGUAUAAAACCCAUCAGCCAGUUCCUUCGCCGUCUGGUCACUGUUCGCAUUGUACGCCCCGUGUAACGAAGUGUACGCCAAGCAUACGCAUUGGGCAGUCGAAUUUCGUUGACUUUUGACUUAGAUUUGGAUGUUAAAUACUAAGUAGGGUUAAUUAUUUCGUUCGCUAGCAGAAGUCUAAUUCUGGCAGUUCGGCUAUGACAUUUACUUGUCGAUAGUAUAAGGCGAGUCUCCUCAGUUAUCCUUACCUGUCUGGUAGAAUAGUUGUAUUUAUGAUGAUCAGUGGGUCUGNGUAUUUAUGAUGAUCAGUUGGGUCUGCUGUUAUUUUGUGUUACGUUGUUACGUGUGACUGAGACUGAGGACAGUCCCUAGAGUUGCUGAUAACUCAUAAGGUGUGUUGUUGCCCACUGGUAUUGUUGAUAGUCCCCAAGGUUGCUGAUAACCCAUAGUUAUUUAUUUAUGUGGUGUUGUGUGUGAUAUCUUGGAAAACUCACUAAGCUUCAUGGUUACAGUUGUUGAUUUAUCUGUUUCAGGUAGUUUUGAGAAGUGCGGGAAGGCGAAUGUCUGAUUGUGCACACUAACUGGGAGGAUGGAUAGAGGUUUGGGUGUAACAACUCAAAUUUUUCAAACAAAUUUUUCAAUUUUAAAACAUAAUUAUUUUCAUUAAAAACAAGGCAUAAAUAGUCAAUCAUUCAGUCAAUACAAUUAUUCAAAAUCCCAAGAUCAUAAAAACCAUCUUCAGUGUGUAUCGAUCAUGCCGGCGCCUUCCCACGGUCCUCGCUAGUACCUGAAAUACAUGCACAACAACUGUAAGCAUAAAUGCUUAGUGAGUUCCCCAAUAUACAACUUACGCACAUACGCCUUCCGGCCCGGACCUUUCGGUCCACAUAACAUUGCCUUCCGGCCCGGCCUUCCGGUCCAUGUGUCUCUGGGGACUUCCGUCCCUGCUGGGUAAACCUUCCGGCCUUACCCACGCCGACCUUCCGGUCCAUCACACAUCAUAUCGCCUUCCGGCCCAUAACAUAUUCGCCUUCCGGCCCAUAACAUACAUAGCACAUAUAACAUAUAACAUACCACAUAUAGCAUACAUAUCACAUAUCAUAUCCGACCUUCCGGUCACACAGUCAAACCCUUCCGGGUACAGUAUAGUGAGAAGACUCACCUCGUAAAUGCUGAAAGCUAGCAACUCCUGAAAUCACUCGCGCACAAACCAACGAGCUACAACCCUCCUAUAACAUUACAUAACUCAUUAACACUCAUAUCAUCUAAGUGUGACUAUCCCUAAGAAGUCAGACUUAGGUCAACUCUGGUCAACGGUCAACGGUCAACUCGACUGGACUCGGCGAGUACCAUGGCGACUCGGCGAGUCUAGUCGUCCUCACAAAUUCCUGAAUAUUCCCUUUCUACUCGUCGAGUAUCCCUCUUGACUCGACGAGGUCCUCGUGGAAGAAUCGCGGGGCCACCCCGACUCCACUCGCCGAGUCUGAUGAACAACUCGGCGAGUCCCAGUAAAUCUUCAAGCUACUCGCCGAGUCUGAAGAACAACUCGGCGAGUCCAUGCCAUGCAGACGAGUAACUGCUUCCUGAGAUAGGUCUCGUCCCGAAGUACACAUGCAUGGGACCUUCUGGACCUCUAAAGGUCCUAAUACAAGACUAUAAUCGUGGGGUAACAAGGCAUUACUUCAUCAAAUCACUAAAUGGGUUCUAUAAACCCUAAUUUCAUAAAUACAUCAAAAUAACAGAUUUGGUCCGAGUAUUACCUGAAAACGCACUCUCUGUGUCCCCCAAAUCUCAGGACUCAAUCCUCCUUGAUAUUCCUUUAGCCAAAUCCCUCUUCUUCUUGCCUAACCAAUUCUUCCAAGUUCCAAAGCUUUCUCCCUUGCUCUAGGCGUCCACAGCGAUUAGGGUUCCUCUCAAUUGACCAAAAGACUGAAAAUGACGGCCUAAGAGGCGUUAAAUACGAUCCAAACUGAACGGUUAGGGUUUCUGCUGAACAGCGUCGACUCGCCGAGUCCAUAUCUGGACUCGUCGAGUCCAGUCGCGGACCCGCGACCAAGUCCGCGAUCCUACUCGGCGAGUCUAGGCUCCAACUCGCCGAGUCCCCUCUUAAAUCACCCCAAAAACAUAAUUUUAAUAAUACCUGAGAUUCCGGGCUGUUACAAUUCUCCCCCACUUGGAUUAGACUUCGCCCUCGAAGUCUCACUCUGCAAAUAGUUCCGGAUGCUGCUCCCGCAUUUCGCGCUCCGGUUCCCAAGUCAUUUCUGAUCCCUUACGGUGUUGCCAUUGAACCAACACCAGAGGUACUUCCUUGUUCCUCAGAACCUUGAUCUUCCGAUCCCUGAUAGCCACUGGUCUCUCCGCGUAAUUCAGGCUCGCAUCCACCUGAAUAUCCUCCAAUGGAACCACUGCCGACUCAUCGGCUAUGCACUUCCUCAACUGCGACACAUGAAAAGUGUCAUGGAUCUGACCCAACUCCGCUGGCAACUCCAACCGGUAGGCUACCCGACCUAUCCUUGCAAUCACACGAAAUGGCCCAAUAUACCGGGGCCCCAACUUGCCUCUCUUCCUGAACCGAAUCACUCCUUUCCAAGGAGAGACCUUCAGGAGAACGAAGUCGCCGACUUGAAAUUCAAGCUCGGAUCGGCGCCUGUCUGCAUAACUCUUCUGUCGGCUCUGGGCAGUCAAUAAUCUUUGUCUCACUUGUUGAAUCUGCUCUGUCGUCUGGAGUAUGAUCUCCGUGCUGCCCAUCACUCUCUGUCCCACCUCUCCCCAGCAAAUGGGAGUCCGACACCUCCUACCAUACAACAGCUCGAAAGGCGGCAUACCAAUGCUCGAAUGAUGGCUGUUGUUGUAGGAAAACUCUGCUAAGGGUAAAUACGCAUCCCAACUACCCCCGAAGUCUAACACACACGCUCGGAGCAUGUCCUCCAGUGUCUGAAUUGUCCGCUCGCUCUGACCGUCUGUCUGGGGAUGGUAUGCGGUACUAAAAUGCAAUUUAGUACCCAGCUCCUCAUGGAAUUUCUUCCAGAAUCUGGAAGUAAAGCGCACAUCACGGUCUGACACAAUCGAGAUCGGCACCCCGUGCCGAGAUACCACCUCUCUCACGUAUAUCUCCGCCAAUUUCUCCGCCGAAGAACUCUCACUGAUGGCAAGGAAGUGUGCACUCUUUGUCAACCUAUCCACGAUCACCCAAAUUGCGUCAACUCCCCUAGCAGUCCUCGGCAAUUUGGUGAUAAAAUCCAUAGUAAUCUGUUCCCACUUCCACUCGGGGAUCUCCAAUGGCUGUAACUUGCCAUGCGGUCUCUGGUGCUCAGCCUUAACCCUACGGCAGGUCAAGCACCUCUCAACGAACCAUGCCACGUCCCUCUUCAUACAGGGCCACCAAUAUUCCUUCCUUAAAUCCAAAUACAUCUUUGUAGCACCGGGAUGGAUCGAGAAUUUCGAUCUAUGAGCCUCUUCCAUCAACGUAAUACGCGUACCGCCCACGAACGGUACCCAAAUCCGACCCUGAAACGUCAUAAGGCCUCGACUAUCCUUGACAAACUCUGAGAUUAACCCCACAACCCGCUCUUUCUUCUGCAUUUCUGGUCGCACAGCCUCCGCCUGGGCCCCACGAAUAGCGUCCAAUACUGGAGUCAUCACAGUCAGUCUCAAGCAUACGUCUCGCAAUGGAGUGCUCUCCGCCCUGCGGCUCAAUGCAUCGGCUACCACAUUAGCCUUGCCUGGGUGGUACAGGAUCUCACAAUCAUAAUCCUUGACCACAUCCAACCACCUCCUCUGACGCAUAUUUAGGUUGGGUUGAUCCAUCAAAUACUUCAAACUCUUAUGGUCCGUGUAUAUCGUACAUCGAACCCCAUACAAGUAGUGACGCCAAAUCUUGAGAGCGAACACUACUGCCCCCAACUCUAAAUCAUGCGUGGGAUAUCUCGCCUCAUGAGGCUUCAGCUGCCUCGACGCAUAAGCUAUCACAUGACCCCUCUGCAUUAACACUGCACCCAAUCCCGAAAUCGAUGCGUCGCAAUAUACCACGAAAUCUUCCAUCCCUUCUGGGAGAGCUAAUACCGGGGCUUCGCACAAUCUCUGGCGAAGUGUCUCAAAGGAGGUCUGCUGCUCGGGCCCCCAUGAGAAUGUAACACCCUUCCGGGUCAAUCUGGUGAGUGGCACUGCGAUCUUGGAGAAAUCCUUGAUAAAUCUCCGAUAAUACCCUGCCAACCCAAGGAAACUUCUGAUCUCAGAGGGUGACUUCGGCACCUCCCAACUCAUCACCGCCUCAACCUUGGCCGGAUCGACCAAUAUCCCUUUCUGAUUAACCACAUGUCCUAGAAACUGGACCUCCCGCAACCAGAAGUCACAUUUGGAGAACUUUGCAUAAAGCUUCUCCGACCUCAAUACCUCAAGGACCUCCCUCAAAUGCUCCUCAUGCUGCUCUCUAGAUCUCGAAUACACCAGAAUGUCGUCGAUAAAUACAAUCACUGACCGAUCCAACAUCGGCCUGCAUACCCUGUUCAUGAGAUCCAUGAACACAGCCGGGGCAUUGGUGAGUCCAAAAGGCAUCACCACAAACUCAUAAUGCCCAUAUCGCGUCCUAAACGCUGUCUUCUGGACGUCCUCAUCCCGUACUCUCACCUGAUGGUAUCCUGACCUCAGAUCGAUCUUGGAAAACCAAGAUGCUCCCUGCAACUGAUCGAAUAAAUCAUCGAUCCUCGGCAACGGGUAACGGUUCUUGACCGUUAGCUUGUUCAACUCCCGGUAAUCAAUGCACAUCCGGUGUGAACCAUCCUUCUUUUUGACGAACAGAAUAGGUGCUCCCCAUGGCGAGCUGCUCGGCCGAAUGAAUCCCUUUCCCAGCAACUCCUGGAGUUGCGAGGACAACUCUUGCAUCUCUGGAGGUGCAAGACGAUAGGGCACUUUAGCAAUAGGCGCUGCCCCCGGAACCAGAUCGAUACUAAACUCUACUUGCCUCACAGGCGGUACUCCCGGCAACUCCUCGGGAAAGACAUCUGAAAACUCGCGCACCACCGGAACUUCCUCAACUGACUUCGGUUUCUCAGAAACCUCCCGCGUAUCCAUCACAUACGCCACGAAACCCUUACAGCCCUGUCGUAGACACUGCCUCGCCCUAGCGGCCGAACAAAAAGCUGAUCCCGAACGGGUACCCUCGCCGUAUACCGAAAGAACUCCCCCACUAGGGUCUCGUAUAGUCACCAACUGACGCUCACAGUCGAUGACAGCGCCGAAUCGGCUCAACCAGUCCAUGCCCACGAUGACACAGACAUCCCCCAUCGCGAUAGGAAUCAGAUCAAUCGGGAAUCCAACCCCGAAAAUCUCUAGUACACAUCCCCGAAGAACCUCCGUAGCACAAAUCACCUUCUCGUCAGCUAUAGAGACUCUCAAAGGUCGACUCAACGACUCACGACUAACGCCAAUAUGCUGACUAAAGGCCAAGGACACAAAGGACCUACUCGCACCCGAGUCAAAUAACACUAAGGCAGGCACAGAGUUCACAAGGAAAGUACCUACGCGCAUAAUAACAUAAGCAUAACAUAUCGACAUUAAAAUAAUUACAUGAAUUACAACAUACCUGCCACAACAUCGGGCGCAGCGCGGACCUCCUCCGCAGUCAGCUGAAAGGCUCUCCCACGAGCCCUCGGGGCCUCGACCUUCACCGGUCGAGUCUCAGUAGUCCUGGCAACAGGUGCAGAUCCCUGACGAAGCUGAGGGCACUCGGCCUUCCGAUGGCCGGUCUGGUUGCAAUGAAAGCAAACCAUAAAUCCCUUGGGACACUCCCUAGCAAUGUGUCCCUCCUUGCCACACUUGUAGCAAGCACCGGCUCGACACGCCCCAUCGUGACCCUUACCGCACUUUACGCAAGUGCGGUUCUUCGAACCUCCCGUCCUCGAAUCGGCGGACUUGAUCCGCUUGGCUGCCGGCUGAGACUGAGCCGGCCGCCGGUCUGCCUGCUGAGACUCGGCCUCCUCCCUGGCCUGAGUCUCUAACUCGAUCUCACGCUUCCUGGCAUUCGCCUGAAGCUCAGUAAAAGUAUGGUAAGUGGAGUUUGACACAAACUCCCGGAUCUCCCUCCUCAGAACACCCAAGUACCGGCUCAUCCGAGCCUGCUCUGUGGCCACCAGCUCGGGGCAAAACAUCGCCCUCUCAUGGAACUUCCGCGUGAUCGCCGCCACCGAAUCAGUACCCUGCUUGAGGGUUAAGAACUCCUGAACCAAUCGUUCCCGCUCCACCGGGGGAACGUACUCCUCCCUGAACAUGGUAGUGAACCCCUCCCAUGUCACUGCCGCAGUCUCUGCCAAAGUGAAGUUCGCCGUCACGAACUUCCACCAGUCCUUCGCUCCCAGACGGAGCUGGUUCAAAGCGAACCGUACCCUCAGGUGCUCCGGGCAUGAACAAGUGUAGAAGCACCCCUCUAUAUCUGCGAUCCACCUCAUCGCAGCAAUCGGAUCCUGCGUCCCAUCGAACUCUGGUGGCUUCGUGUUGCUGAACUCUCGGAACAGCAAUGAAUCACCCCCCUGUGGCCUAGCAGCGGCCACAGCUGCGGUAGCUGCAGCGGUUGCAGCCUCAGUCAAUGCGGCGUACCGCUCGUCGAACGUCUCCAUCAGGGUGGUCUUGAUAGACCCAAACAUCUCCGGGAUCUCAGCCCGGAUCGCCGCCGCCACCUCCUCGUGGAUCAUCUGACGAAUAUCCUCGUCACUCACACCGCUCGUACUUGCCCCGUGCCGCGGUCUAACCAUGAUAUCUCUGAAAUACAACAUAAAACUAUCAGAGAUUCUACCGAGUAUAAUCGUACUCGACACGCAACCCUACUCAGUCCCAGAUAUCCAGGGAUUCUUACUUGGGCCUCCCACUGACCCGGUGUCCUCGGUAGUACGGGCCCAAUACUACCGACCACACCGCAUCAAUGUUCAUCCCAAGUCCUCCUCCCCAAACUCCAGAUAGUGAGUACUCUACUUCUGAUACGCUCUAUCUACCCGCAUACUAGCAAAGCAUCUCAUAUAAGCAACUUCCCUAGACUAAGGCAUCACAAAUCAGGCCACUCUAGUCCUAUCAUGAAUACCUAGUCUUCUAGCAUGCAUAACAAUUCAUAUCAUAUAAUAUUGUAAGGUAUUUUGGGGAUCUUUACCGUUCGGGCGCUGACUGAUCGUACACACUGCUUCUUUCUUGCAUACCACAAAACCAUUUACAAAAGUUUAUGCCUUUAUUUGAAAAGUUUCCUCAAAUCCUCGGUUUGAGUUUAGUUACCCCCGAAGGUGCACCCGAAUCCCUCAAACCAAGGCUCUGAUACCAAUUGUAACAACUCAAAUUUUUCAAACAAAUUUUUCAAUUUUAAAACAUAAUUAUUUUCAUUAAAAACAAGGCAUAAAUAGUCAAUCAUUCAGUCAAUACAAUUAUUCAAAAUCCCAAGAUCAUAAAAACCAUCUUCAGUGUGUAUCGAUCAUGCCGGCGCCUUCCCACGGUCCUCGCUAGUACCUGAAAUACAUUACCUAUAAUUAUCAGUAUCACAUUACCUAUAGUUAAUUUUGGUAAGCUCAUUAAAUCGAACAUUAGUGUUAAAACCUAGACCAAUUUUACAAAUAUAUUUUGAUAAAUAUUCUACACUAUGUCAUUCUGGAAAUUAAUGAUCGACCAUCAAUGGAUAUUUACCUACAAAGUUGAUCCUCGAGCAUCAAUCGUCCAGUGGAGGUUUGUGCAUGUGUUAUGUUUCUUGCAUGCUUAUCAAAAUUCAUUCUAACAGUCGUUGACAUGUUCUAUAACUCAUUCUGCAUUGAAACAAAAAAGAAAUCCAAAUAUACUUUAAAUGCAAUGUCGCAAUGAAUAUAGCAGAAUGUGUACAUAUCAAAAUAUCGGGUGUGAGUAAUCGAAAAAUCAUCCAAGUGAACUUGCGGACAGACCUUUCUUAAAAUUGAAUCUUUCUCGUUGAGCUUUCUUAGACAUCGAGAUUUAACUCGAGGAGGUGCAAAACGAUAAAUAUAUGUACAAUUUUACCUUAUUUACAUUAUUAAGAUCAGUUUUUCAUGAAAUUGAAUUUUUAAAUAAAUAUAAUUAUCAGUAUACAAGAUUAUUAUGAUUUCAUUUAACACAAUCAUAAUUUCAACUUUUUGUGAAAACUUUAAUUUUGUAGCCAAACAUUAUAAUAAGUUUGUGCUAAUGACACCUGUCAUGUUGAAAGGCUAAACAAUGAAUAAGGUAUAGUCAACCUCGAAUAAUCACAAUGUCAAAUGAUAGAAGAUAUUCUCACUUAAACAAGCAAGAAAAAUGUAUCAAAUGUUUUUGAAAAAAAAUACAAAUAAAGAUAGUGUGGCCAUUUACAAAUAAGAACCGUUAAAAAAAUAGUUAUGUAUACAAAGGAGUAUUAUGACCAUUUACAAAUAUUUAAGAUCUGUUAAAAGUGUCAUUUUUCUUAAUGGUUGGGCUGUAUGUGACGAUAUGUACAAUUUUAGGGGAGGUUGAUGCAAAUCACCAUCGCUAGAGAUCAGGAUUAGGGUUGACGCCCACACUUUUCUUACUAUAUAUUAGAUGUUGAGGAUCCACAGCCGCUGUCAUAAUCAACUGAAUCUAGAUCCAGGAUCCAAACAUCAAACUAUUCACAAAUAAUUAAGAGCUUAGGAGGAUAAUGCAUAUCUGAAAAUCAUGCAUUGGUUUGAUAAAGUUAUCGAUCUGUGUCUUUUGGGUCAUGCAAAUCACCAAGACUUUUAUUUGUUGAUUUCAAAAAAAAAAUUCUCUAUCAUGCACACAGAUCAAAAAACUAGCAAAGAUCCGCAAUAUUUUGUAAGAAAAACCAUGUAAGUUAUCAUUCUGAAUCAUGUGUUUUGAAGCUGUUGUGUCCUUUUUUUUGUAGUUUCGAAGUUUAUAUAUGCUGUUCUCCUGUGACUCUCACUUUCUUGAUCUGUUGUCAGUCUAGUUGAAUCAGAUCGGUACCAGUUAGGUGUUCAUAGCAUUUCAAGGGUUGGUUUUGUGGGUUUCUCCAGGCCACUGUACCUUACCCUUUCUGAUGUCAAGUGGAUUGUGUUCCUUGGCAAAGAUGUUUCUGAUGAUAACAAAAUGUUCAUAAGCUUUUGAUAUCUUUCAUGUGAAUGUUUCAUGUGAGUAUAAACUAUAAACUAUAAAGUAGUGUUUUUAUUAUUCUUUUACACGCCUGCUACAGAUUAAUCAGUAGAUUACCAUUUAUUUUAUUUCUGCAGGUUUUCAUUGAUUGUAACAAAAAGGCUUCACAUGUAUUGCUGUUCUCCAUUCAAAGGUAAGAUUAUAAAACGUUUUCUUAUGUAAUUGUUUUGAUGCCAAUAAAUUUUUAAUUCUCAACUUUCCAAUUUAUGCUAUAUCAAGUAACGCUUAAGUAAGGUCUAAAUCUGACAUCUUGUUCCAUUCUUACUGAUUGAUGUUUGGAGAUGAUGGCAAUGUUGACAGAAGUUUCAUAUCUGAUCACUAGAUCUUGACAUGCUGAUUCCUUAAAUAUAUAUCAAUAAAUUUGGUCCCUGUAGUAUAGUGCUUGUUUUAGUUUUGGUACAAGGUUAAAAUGGUCAUUCAAAAAAAUCCAAUUAUGCUGCGUUUUGAUUUCUGAUUGUUUGAUUUAUCCUCCUUGCAGUGUGAAAGGGAAUAUCAUAUAUGGUGUUUGAGGGAACACAAGAAGAUGUAUCUGAAGGUGUGUUAAGUUGAAUGUAAAUUUGCUAAAAUUUCCAUCGUUUUCACUCGAUUUAAUAUGAGAUUGUUGAUCUGAAGGUGUCUUCUCAUUUCGGAGGGAUCGGAAUCCGAAUCACAUAUUCCGAUGUGAAGUGGAUUGUUUUCCUUGGGAAAGAUGUUUCUAAUGAAUGGUGACAUUCUAAGGAACAUCUUUGUUAAAAAUGGAGGUGGUGGGUCCUCAAGGUGGAAUUACUUUUCAAGAUUGUUUUCGUUUUUGUCUUUGCAUGGAGAAGUAAAGUAAACAAUGAAUGAAUGAAUAAUGAAUACCCAAUUGGUGGAUUUAUAUUUAAUGGUUUUAAAAUAUAGAUUUUAUGUAUAUUUCAAGAUUUUUCCUUUGUUGAAUAUGUAAUUAUUGUUAAUUUUUUCGUGAAUUUAUAUUUUUUUUUUAUCUACAAAACUGGCCGCUAGCCUAUCACAUAAAAUCUAUAUGUGAUCUAUUAGUGAGUUUUUCUUAAAUUUUGUCGAUAGUCCGUCAGUGAGUUAUUCUUUUGGUAAUUUUUACAAAAAAGUAUAUUCGUCAUUGAUCGCUUACUAAUAACUGACGUAAAAAUUUGUUGCUAAAAUUUGUCAUAGCCUUCGGAAAUCCGUUGCAUAUAUGAUAUGCCUUUUUGGGAAUCAGAUGUAUGAUCAAUACUGUACACCUCUAUAACCCUCUUUCCACGUCUAAUACAAGCAUCAUAAAACCAAGCAUAGACCUGUCUAAUUCCUUAGAUUGUUCCGAGUAAAUAAACUUAGUCUUCUAUAACCAUACCUAAAGUAGAUUAAAAAAACUUUUUAUGUGAAAGAAUUAAUAAUUAAUAACUUUAAAGGUGAUAAUAAACCUUCAAUGGCUCGAUGAUAUCACAAUCAUUUUUUAUUUCAUAAUCACCUUUAAACUCAUCAUUAUAAGAAAGAGUAUGAAGCAAAAUUACUUUUAUACUACACGCACACUUUUUAUCUCAAUGAAAAUAUGAAUGGGAACAAGAUCAAGAGUUAUGCAUCAAACUAAAAGAUUGUAAUAAUCAAACUAACAUUUUCUUGUAUCCGUUAAUUCAAAAAAAGGUAUGGUUCAAUAAACAAAUUAGAUGUGUCGAGAUAAAAUGAAACUCCACCAACACGCCACAAUGUCGCCGCCGCCGCUCCUUCGCCAUCUAAAUGCCACAACGUCGCUGCCAGAGACGCCGUGAACAUCCUGGAAAACCGCUGAUGGACGAUAAAUGGACGUGUUCGCAGCAGCAAGGGCGCGAGCUACCGAGAGGCUUUAGGGAAGACCAUCUGCCACUUCUCUCUCUCCUCUCCUCCGUCCUUUUGUGCGUGUUCGACGAUAGAUGCGUCACCGCUGCCCCCGGUGGCCUUUGGCCACUAUUUUCGUAGCUUUCCAGCAACAUCAGCCACCUGGAAGGUGGUUGGGAGGAUGUAUGUCUAGAAUAUAUGUUGUUGUCGGUGUUAUUGUUGCUGUAAGAGCCAUUUUAGGUUGGAAAAUCAAUGAAGGUCCGUCACCACCACCAUGAGGUAGUGGCUGGCCCCNNNNCUAACUACCAUCUCUGGUGCCUAUGUGUGUGUGUAUAUUAUGUGCGAAGUGGUAUAUGCAAUUUUUGAACCACCACCACAACCAUUGCAAAUGGUGGAUACCGCCGUGAGCCGCCGCCGACCACCACCGCCGAGGUGGCAGUGGGUGGUGUCCAGCCUAGUGGAACCCUAAUUGGCCCAAUAGCUUAAUCUUGGACUUAGUAGGAUUGUGAUUGGAUUGGAAACCCUAAUUAGGGUUUACAAAACCCUAACUCUAGGAAUGUUAGUUUGGGAAUUGCCGGGAGUAGCGUUUGGAAUGUUAUAUUGGAAUUUUGAUUUAUGUCCAACUACAUUGUAUGAAUGGCCUAAUGGAGUGAUGGACUUAAUGGAUUAAGUGCUUAAUGAGUUAUGUCCUUAUUGGGUUAAUUAAGAAUGCUUAACCCUAAUCGUCAUUUCAUGUGAGAAACCCUAAUUUUGCUUGGGCCUUGAGUUUGGCCUUUCAAUUGGGCUUUGGUGAUUGGGCUACUGAUGGGCCAUCCAAAAACAAGCAUAUGGACUAUAAUAUUUGGAUUGAGCUUUAGGAUAAGGCCUAUUGGAUAUACUUGGGCCCAAUUGGGAAAAUUAGGCCAUAGAUGGACCAUAACAGGGCCUUGAUGAUUAUGAGAUAUUGGAUCCGUAGCAUGCCAAGUGUUUCGACCACAAUAAAUGGUUGGGCCUUAAGGUAAGACCCUGUUGAGGUUUGGGCCCAAUUUUAAGUUGGGCAUUAGUUCAUUGUUUGACUUUUGGCCUUUAGAUUGGGCCUUGGGCAUUAAUCAAGCUAAGUUGGGGGUAAAGUAGCCUUUUACCCCAAACAUGGACCUAUGGUUAUGUGAUGGCACCCAAUUAUUAAUUGGGUGUUUUUUUAUGUUGACAGUUCAAAAAUCUAUCAUUCAACAGCUACAGUUUGACCGCGGGACUUCAACAGUAUGAGUUGAGUUUCCUUCAGUAGGAACGGGUCGAAAGCACCAAUGCCAGCCCGUAGAGUUUAUAUGUUCUUGAUAGGAACAUGAGGUAUGGGCGGGGGUCGUAUCUCAUUAUUACCUGAGUAUAGAUACUAGUCAGAUUGUUGGAUUGUUAUACUUGUAUUCUGUGUGAUACCGGUAUGUGUUGUUAGGAAUGUGAGUUUGGGCGGGUCGCGUAUCUUAUAGUAGCUGAGUGUGGAUAGGGCCCAUAUCUCAUUGAGUUUGGGCGGGGCCCGUAUUUCCUAGUAGCUUGGGGAGACUCACUAAGCUUCUUGCAGAAAGUUUUUAGUUUUGGUUUCGGGUACUUUUGUUAGCAAGGAGAACAGCUCGGGAUGAUUUAGUGCACACAUCAUUUGUUUAGCAUGGGAUAUUAAUACUCUGAUAUAUUGUGACAGAUGCUAUGAUAUUUUGAGGUACACGAUUUAUUGUUGUUUUGAUUACUACGGUGUUAUUAAUGAUUUAAAAUGAAAAUUUUCGAAUGUAUAUUUAGGAUGGUUCAAAUUGGUAUCACAACCUUGGUCUGAGGGAUUCGAGCACAUUCUCGGGUGUGUCUGAACUCAAAUUGAGGACUUGGUAUGAAAUUUUUCAAAAGAAAAUCAUUUUUACAAAAGAACUUUGAAAGUGAAAAGGGUUUUAGAAAAGAGAAAACGAGUGUGGUGCAUGCACUCAACCAAUCUCAAGUAAGUACUCCCAAAUUACGCGUACGAGUGUAUGUUAUGAUAUGAUUAUGAGAACUGCAUGCUAGAAUAGGGCUAAGGAUCUAGGAAUGAUGCGUUGUAUGCCUGUUAUAUGUGUAUGCGAACUGCAUGCUAGUUAGGGCUAAGGAUCUAGGAAGGAUGCCUUAUGUGCAUGCUAUAUGAGCUUGUUGAGUUGUAUGAUAGUAAUGAUUAGUCAGUGAUAUGAUGGCCUGAUUAGAGUGUGAUUGAUUAUGUUUACUUAAUUCUUGAAUGGUUCUUGCUUUUUCUUUUAAGAGUUCUAGUUACCUCUAACUAAAUAGUAAACGAAUAUGUUAAGUUACAUAUUGUGAGGACUAAAUAAUUUCAGAAGGUUAGGUUUAGCUCUAUUUCACAACUCUUGUUUGAGUCCAACCAUUGUAGGGUAGAACCUCUCAUUCGAAGAAUGAUCUAUUCUUAGUAAUAUGUAAUGCUAUUCGUUAGCUAGUUAGGGGAGAUAGAAAGAACUUCUUAUAUAGCUAAUGGCGGAGAGUGGAUUGGUAAUUACACUAGGGCAAGCCUAGGCUGAGAGUAGUAGAGAACAAUAGUAGCAGUAGAAGGGACUUGGUGGAGUCAGUGCAGUUCUUGAUGUAAGCACAUAUAGAUGUGGAAGGCUGUAUGGGCCCGUACUAUUGAAAGAAGAGGAUAUGUACUCAAACCAAGGAAGGAUGAGACGAACCCAAGGAACUUGUAGUCUGUGAGAUCCCUCGAAUUAUGAUGAGUAUUCUAAUGGUUAUUCUGGUAUAUUUAUGAGUAUGGAGACGCUAUGUGGUAGACCAGAUGUCAGAUCUGGUGUUGGAAAGGAAUCAAGCUCUAACUCUAGAGCCGGAUAGCUUGAUGGUCAGAUGAGGGAGUUCAUUCCAUCUGAGAGUACACACAUUAUCACUUACCAGACUCCUGUUAUCUUCAGUGUUCAAGCAGGGAAUUUUAGAGAUUUAUGAUGGGAAGCUGAGAACAUUCUGCACUGAAAUACCAUCCAUGAUAGGUACGCAUACGUUGAUGACUCAGGAGUUCAGAGCUCGUGAAGCUCUAGAUUAUCAUGGGGCUAGGAACCCCAUUGCUAGCAGCAGAUGGUUAGCAGAUGCCGCCAACACUUUUCGUACCAACCGCUACCUCAGAGGGACAAGGUCCGAUUUACUUCCGGUUUCCUGAAGGACAGGGCACAUGAUUGAUGGGAAGAGGUUGGUAGUGACUUGUGUGAUGAUGCGGUCGAUGCUAUGUCAUGGGAUGACUUUUUGCCCAGAUUCCAGGCAGAAUUUGCCCAGGGUUAGUGCAUACCAGUUGGCGCGAGAAUUUCUAGAUCUCCGCCAGACUACUGAGACUGUGGCAGCGAUCACUGCCAAGUCUCGGGAGAGAGCUUCUUUGGUACCACAGUAUGCAGCAGAUGAGGAAAUGAAGAAAGAAAGGUAUUCAGACAAAAUGCAGAAUGAUAGCAGGGAGAUCGUGAGUAUUUCGAGGUGCGAAACCUUGAAUGAUAUGACUUCUAUAAGCUGAUAAUGAAAUAUUGAUUUGGAGCGCAUUAGGAAGAGGGAACCAGAUUACUUGCAUAUAUUGAAGGGUCUCGAGAAGAGACCCAAGAUUUCGGAUCAACUUAUAUGAUUGGGAUUAGCUUUUGAGAGGCCAGCAGGGCCAAAUUUAGUGCAACACUUGCGAGAAACUACACCAUGAAGUGUUUUUCGCUCCAAGGGCUUGGGUAAGGGUACACCUUGGUUGCUUCUAUGUUUGUGUUAGCGUUAUACCUUCAAGUGAUGUCAAAUGCCAAUUGCAUACCGAGAAUUAUUAGUGGGUAGCGAAAGGUUAUUUCCCUAAUUGCGAGAUUCAGAGUGUAGAACGUCAUCAAGGUUUAUGGUCGAGAUCAAAUCAUAAGAGUUCGGUGGAAGGUCUGUAGUAAGGGUUCCGCUGGAUGGUUAUCCAAUAUCAUCAGGAUUCGGUGGUCCUAGUAACUGUUACUAUUGGAUGAUGGAGGUUCUAUGGAAAGUGGCUCGUUGCUGAGGUAUUGACGGGAGCAUCUGUCUUUCAAUCUUUAAGAUUCGAGUGUGGUAUCAUUUCAAACAUUUGCAGUUACCAGUAUUGUUGGGAAUUCUCCAAAUUUCAUGUAUUGUGAAGACUUAGUCGAAUCUAAGUGAGGGAGAAUCGUUCAGGGAUUCGGAAACAUCAGCAGUUUUGGAACUAGGAUAAGUUUAGCAUCCUUGUCAGGAUGAAGAUAGUCCAAGCUGCUAUAUGGAUUGAGGAUAGUUUGAGUUGGAAGUUCAUAAACUUGACAAUAAUGACAUCGCGUUCUCGGAAUGUUUGAUAGCAGGCCUUAGGGGAUCAGGUUGAGGAUUCCACUAAGGAAACGAGUUCAUUUUUGGAUGUUAGGUCGUGUGUAUGAUCGAUGUUGGAUGUGUUCGGUUUAGUAAUCAGCGAUGGAGAUUUUGUGGAAAGUGUUGUAAGACUGUGGGAUAGCCGUAGCAUUUACCAACAACGAGAUAACGUGGAAAGUGUUGUAAGACUACGGGAGAGCCGUAGCAAUUACUACUAGCCGGAUAGUAUGGGAAGUGUUGUAAGUCUGUAGGUGUAGUCGUAGCAUUCACAAGUUUAGCAGAUAGUGCUAGAAGUGUUGUAAGUCUGCGUGACGUAGCCGUAGCAUUCAAAAGGUUGGCAGAUAGUGCUAAAAGUGUUGUAAGUCUGCGGGUGUAGCCGUAGCAUUCACAAGGUUGGCAGAUAGUGCUAGAGUGUUGUAAUUAUGCUGGUGUAGCCGUAACAUUCACUAGGUUAGUAGAUAGCAUGGGAGUGUUUUGGAACGUAGAGGGAACAAUAGUACCCAUCAGUUCGGGUGCAGCAGUGAGGGCGUGGAAAAUCCACAUAUUCGUGGAUCGAUUUCCCCAGAUGAAUUAGACUUAUUUGAGCUAGUAAGAAGACCGUAGGAACAUCGUUGCAGUCAUGGUAUCAAUGAAGUGAUGUAUUGUUUAAGGUCGUUUGUGAUAUAAGGCUACCUUAGGUCAUGUAGCAAUCAUUUUUAGCCUUGGAUUUGGUAAUGUCUGGACUCGACGCAUGGACCGGACCAGUUAUAUCAUAAGGUCAUUAGAGCCACGGUAGCAAGAUAACUAGUGGAAACUGGUUAGAAACAAGGAUUUCGUUUGGAAAUCAUGUAGGGUGACUAAGUGGGAGUCCUUUGGCUCGACAAUCGGGCAUCAACCCUGUAUUUUAGAUGACUAGUGAAGGAAUUGAGACCAGAGAGGUCUUCGUAGAUUUUGGAAAGCAGUCAUGUGGCAACAUGCUAUUUCGGGCAGUUUAAGUGUUUUGGCAGUAUCUGUAUUAGUGUUUUAGAAUUUCAGAUAUGGAUGGGUGACAGACUGUUUGCAUUAUGCUAAGUCACUCAUAGCGGGAUUAUUUGAGCCUUGGCCAAGUAUGAGGUAUCUGCAGGGAUAAUUGGGUCUGUGAUUAUGUUUUCUAGUAGGAACCUCAAGUUAUCAGAAGUUGAAUAGUCAGAUGAUAGAUAAGUGGACUGGGUUCAACAAUAAUGACUCAGUAUGGGCCGUUUGUCACGGAGUCAGACCAUCUUGAGACUACUCAUUUCAGAUUGAGUAAUGUGAUCCUAAUGCAAGGAAUUCGUUUAUCUUCGGGUUUUAGAACCAUGUGAGGGAUGGUUUUGAUUGCCUUGGGAAGACUGGGGUUAUGCUCAAGAUUGUGGCCGUGUCGUUCAAGUUGUCUGGCGUGUAAGGAAUGAUUUGAGGACGAAAUCUAAUUUAAGUGGGGGAAAGUUGUAACAUCCCAUUUAUUAAAUAAAUGAAUAGAUAAAUUAAUAAAUUGGUAGUAACCCUAAAAUCACUAAUAAUAUAGCAAGGUGUUGGUCUCGAUGAGUUAAUUGUCGCAAUUUUCAAAGUUGGGGCUAAAAGUGUAAGUGCCGGAGUGCUUUGUAAAUAUUUAUGAAGGCAGAGACUGCUUGGUAAAUUAUUGGGACUUAAUUUGAACUGAUUUUGGAGGCUAAGGGGCUAAAUGGUAACAUAUGGAAUUCAGUUGAAAAUAAUUUGCAUAGGAGAGGCUGUUUGGUAUGUUUUGGACUUAAAAUGGCAUGAACUUAUGGAAUCACGGGGUAAAGGGUAAAUGUUGGAUUAAAGUUGAAGAAGAUCUGGUGAGGAGGGCCGAUAUUGGUAAAAAUGGCCUAAGUUUGCAAGAAGACGGGAUAUACCCGGUUUCCCAUCCCAUUGUCUAAACCCUAACACUAAUUAUACACCAGUCGCCAUGUUUGAUGUUCAGCAGCCUCACCCCCCCUCGUUCGUUUUCCGAUCAGACAAGCCCUCUGUCGUCGCUCCUUCGCCAUCUAAACACCACAACGUCGCUGCCAGAGACGCCGUGAACAACCCGGAUAACCACUGAAGGCCGACAAAUUGACGUGUUUGUUGCAGCAAGGUUCGCAAGCUACCAAAAGGCUUCAGGAAAGACCAUAUGCUCCUUCUCUCUCUCCUCUCCUCCAUCCAUUUGUGCAUGUUAAACGUCAGAUGUGUCACUGCUGCCGACGGUGGCCUUUUGGCACUAUUUUUGUAACUUUCCGGCAACGUAAGCAGCAUGGAAGGUGGCUGGGUGGAUGUAUGUCUAGAAUAUAUUCUACUAUCAAUGUCGCUGUUGUUGUAUGAGCCAUUUUUGGUAGGAAAAUCAAUGAAGCUCCACCACCACCACCAUGAGGUUGUAGCUACCCCCGUGUUGCUGCCACUAACCACCAUCUCCGGUGGGUGUGUGCGUAUAUUAUGUGUGAAGUGAUAUAUGCAUUUUUUGGGCAGGAACCACCACCACCACCAUUGGAAAUGGUGGCUGCGNNNNNNNNNNNNNNNNNNNNNNNNNNNNNNNNNNNNNNNNNNNNNNNNNNNNNNNNNNNNNNNNNNNNNNNNNNNNNNNNNNNNNNNNCUGCUACUGCCUAGCCGUGAGUUGCCGCUGACCACCACCGCCCGAGGUGGUAGUGGGUGGUGCCCGACAUAGUGGAAUCCUAAUUGGCCCAAUACUUUAAUCUUGGACUUAGUUGGAUUGUCAUUGGGUUGGAAACGCUAAUUAGUGUUUAGAAAACCCUAAUUCUGGGAAUGUUAGUUUGGGAACUACUGGGACUCACGUUUGGACUGUUAUACUAGAAUUUUGAUUUAUAUCCAACUACAUUGUAUGAGUGGUCUAAUGGAAUGAUGGACUUAAUGGAUUAAGUGCUAAAUGGGUGAAGUCCUUAACGAGUUAAGUAAGAAUACUUAACCCUAGUCAUCAUUUCAUGUGAGGAACCCUAGUUUGGCUUGGGCUUUGAGUUGGGCCUUUCUAUUGGUCUUUUGUGAUUGGGCUACUGAUGGGCCAUCCAAAAACAAGCAUAUGGACUAUAAUAUUUGGAUUGAACAUUAGGAUAAGGCCCAUUGGAUAUGCUUGGGCCCAAUUGGGGAAAUUAGGCCAUAGAUGGACCAUAACUGGGCCUUGAUGAUUAUGAGAUAUUGGAUCAGUGGGCUGCCAAGUGUUUCGACCAUAAUAAAUGGUUGGGCCUUAAGGUAAGACCCUGUUGAGGUUUGGGCCCAAUUUGGAAAAUUCGGCCAUAUGUUGGGCAUUGGUUUAUUGUUUGACUUUUGGCCAUUGGAUUGGGACUUGGGCUUUAAUCAAGCUAAGUUGGGGGUAAAUUAAUCUUUUACCCCAAACAUGGGCUUAUGGUUAUGUGAUGGCACCUAAUUAUUAAUUGGGUGUUAUUUUUAUGUUGACAGUUCGAGAAUCGGUCAUUUAACAGCUAGGGUUUUGACCGCGGGACUUCAACAAUGUGAGGUGAGUUUCCUUCUGUAGGAAUGGGUCGAAGGCACCAAUACCAACCCAUAUUGUUUAUAUGUUCUUGAUAGGAACACGGAGUAUCUGUGUGGCCCGUAUCUCAUUAUUACCUUAUUAUAGAUGUCAGAAUGUUGGAUUGUUAUACUUGUUGUCUGUGUGAUACAUGUAUGUGUUGUUAAGAUUGUGAGUGUGGACAGGGCCCGUAUCUCAUAGAGUGUGGGCACGAACCAUAUCGCAUAGUAACUAGAGUUUUCUAAAUCACCCAUAAUAUCCAUGUUUAUGACAUAGCAGAAAAAAAUGCAUUUGGUUGCAUAUAAUAUUGGGUAUAAAUAAUUGUGUUAAAUAACACUGUACUAAAGUAAGAUGGUAAAAAAUGUUCAUUUUACCCCUAAAUGCCACUUGUUUUGUUUCGCUCUUGUUUAUUGAUUAAUAUUGAAAGUUAGCGGUGGAGUAUAUAGUUUCAGACGAGGAGUCUAGGGUUUCUAGGUGUUACUCAUGAAGCAAUACCAUGUAAGAGAUAUUUGACACAAUUAUCACAUUACCCAUAUUUAGUUUUGGUAUGUUCAAUAAAUCCAAGAGAUGUUUGACACAAUUAUCACAUUACCCAUAUUUAGUUUUGGUAUGUUCAAUAAAUCCAACGUAAGUUUUCAAAGUUAGACCAAUUAUACAAAUAUAUAUAUUGAUAAAUAUUCUAUAUUAUGUCAUUCUCGCAAUUAAUGCUCGAGCAUCAAUGGAUAUUUACCAACAAACUUGAUCCUCGAAAAUCAAUGUCCAUUGGAAGUUUGUGCAUGUGUUAUGUUUCUUACAUGCUUAUCAAAAUUCAUUCAACUGUCGUUGACAUGUUCUAAAACUCACAUUGCGUUGAAAUAAAAAAAGGAAUCCAAAUAUACUUUAAAUGCAAAGUACCAAUAAAUAUAGCAGUACAAUGUGCGAAUACCGAAACACCAGGUGUGAGUAAUCCAAUAAUCAUCCAAAUGAAAUUUCCGACAAACCUUUCAUGAAGCUGAAUUUUUUUGUUGAGCUUUCUUAGACUUAUAGAUUUCAACUCGAGUGAAUGUAAAACGAUAAAUAUAAGUACAAUUUUUCCUUAUGUACAUUAUUAACACCAGUUUCUUCAUGGAAUUUAAUUUUAAAAUAAAUAUAAUUGUCACUAUACAUGGUUAUUAUGAUUUCAUUUAACUCAAUCAUAAUUGUAACUUUUCUAGAAACCAUUAAUUAUGUAGCCAAACAUUAUAAUAAGUUUGUGCUAAUUACAUCCUUUCAUGUUGAAAGGCUAAACAAUGAAUAUGUUACACUCAACCUGGAAUAAUCACAGUGUCAAAUGAUAUAAGAUAUUCUCACUUAAGCAAGAGGGAAAAAUGUAUCAAGUGUUGUUAAAAAAAAUAUAUCAAUAAAGAUGGUGUUGCAAUUUACAAAUAAGAGCUGUUAAAAAAAUAGUUAUGUAUAGUAAGGAGUACUAUGGCCAUUAACAAAUAACUAAGAGCUGUUAAAAAAGACUACAAAUAAAAAAAUCGAGUACCACUUUAUUCAUCAAGCAACAAAUUGUAAUUUUGCGUAAUUGUUGGGUUGUAUGUGACGAUAUGUACAAUUUUAGGGGGAGGUUGAUGCAAAUCACCAUGGUUUUAGAUCAGGGUUAGGGUUGACGCCCACACUUUUCUUACUAUAUAUAUUAGAUGUUCAGUUUCAAUUUCAUACGAUUUCACAGCCGCUGUCAUAAUCCACCCUGUGAAUCUAUAUCUUGUAACUAUUCAACUACUGGCUUAGGAGGAUAUGCAUAUCUGAAAAUCAUCCAUUCUUUUGAUAAAGUUAUCGAUCUGCGUCAUUUUCGGUUAUCAUAAUCACCAUGACUUUUAUGUGUCGAUUACGAAAAAAAAUUUCUCUAUCAUGCUUCUAGAUCCAAAAACUGGCAACGAUCCACAAUAUUUUAAAACAAAAAACAUGUAAGUUAACUGAUACGUAAAUUUAUACCAUUCUGAAUCAUGAGUUUUGAAGCUGUUUUCUCCUUUUUUUGUUGUUUCGAAGUUUAUAAAUGCUGUUCGCCUGUCACUCACAUUAUUUCUUGAUCUGUGUCAGUCAAGUAGAGUCAGAUCGGUACCAGUUAGGUGUUCAUCGCAUUUCAAAAGUCGGUUUCGUGGGUUUGUCCAGAGGCCACUGUACAUUAGUCUUUCCAAGGUAAGUUUAUAAAACGUUUUCUUAUGUAAUUGUUUUGAUGCCAAUAAAUUUUUAAUUCUCAACUUUCCAAUUUAUGCUAUAUCAAGUAACGCUUAAGUAAGGUCUAAAUCUGACAUGUUGUUCCAUUCUUACUGAAUGAUGUUUGGAGACGAUGGCGAUGUUGACAGAAGUUGCAGAUCUGAUCACUAGAUCUUGACACGCUCAUUCCUUAAAUAUAUAUCAAUAAAUUUGGUCCCUGUAGUAUAGUGCUUGUUUUAGUUUUGGUACAAGGUUAAAAUGGUCAUUAAAAAAAAAAUCCAAUUAUGCUGCGUUUUCAUUUCUGAUUGUUAGAUUUAUCCUCCUUGCAGUGUGAAAGGGAAUAUCAUAUACGGUGUUUGAGGGAACACAAGAAGAUGUAUAUGAAGGUGUGUUAAUUUGAAUCUGAAUUUGCAAAAAUUUCCACAGUUUUUCACUCGAUUUAAUAUGAGAUUGUUGAUCUGAAGGUGUCUUCUCAUUUCGGAGGGAUCGGAAUCGGAAUCACAUAUUCCGAUGUGAAGUGGAUUGUUUUCCUUGGGAAAGAUGUUUCUGAUGAAUGGUGACAUUCUAAGGAACAUCUUUGUUAGAAAUUGAGGUGGUGGGUCUUCAAGGUGGAAUUACUUUUCAAGAUGGUUUUGGUUUUUGUCUUUGCAUGGAGAAGUAAAGUAAACAAUGAAUGAAUGAAUAAUGAAUACCCAUUUGUUGAUUUUUAUUUGAUGGUUUUAAAAUAUAGAUUUGAUGUACGUUUCAAGAUUUUUCCUUUGUUGAAUAUGUAAUUAUUGUUAUUUUUUGCAUGAAUUUAUAUUUUUUUUUAUAUCCAAAACUCGCUGCUAGCCUAUCACAUAAAAAUCUCUCUGUAAUCUAUUAGUGAGUUUUUCUUAAAUUUUGUCGAUAGUUCGUUAGGGAGCUAUUCUUUUGGUAAUUUUUACAAAAAAGUGUAUUCUUCAUUGAUCGGUUACUAAUAACCGACGUAAAAAUUCGUUGCUAAAAUUUGUCGUAGCCAUUGGAAAUCCGUUGCAUAUAUGAUAUGCCUUUUUGGGAAUCAGAUGUAUAAUCAAUACUGUACACCUCUAUAACCUUCUUUCCACGUCUAAUACAAGCAUGAUAAAACCAAGCAUAGACCUUUCUAAUUCUAUAGAUUGUUCCAAGUAAAAUAAACUUAGUCUUCUAUAACCAUACCUAAAGUAGAUUAAAAAAACUUUUUAUUUAAAAAAAUUAAUAAUAAAUAACUUUAAAGGUGAUAAUAAACCUGCAAUGGCUCGAUGAUAUCACAAUCAUUUUUUAUUUCAUAAUCACCUUUAAACCCAUCAUUAUAAGAAAAAGUAUGAAGCAAAAUUAGCUUUAUACUACUUGCACACUUUUUAUCUCAAUGAAAAUAUGAAUGGGAACAACAUCAAGAGUUAUGCAACAAACUAAAAGAUUGUAAUAAUCAAACUAUAAUUUCUUGUAUUCGUUAAUCUAAAAAAAGGUACGGUUCAUUAAACAAAUUAGAUGCGUCUAGAUAAAAUGAAACUCCACCAACAUGACACAAUGCCGCUGCCGCCGAUCCUUCGCCAUCUAAAUGCCACAAUUUCGCUGCCGGAGACGCCGUGAACAACCCGAAAAACCGUUGAAGAUCGACAAAAGGACGUGUUCGCUACAGCAAGGGCGCGAGCUACCGAGAGGCUUCAGGUAAGACCAUCUGUCACUUCUCUCUCUCCUCCCCUCCGUCCCUUUGUGCGUGUUCGAAGUCAGAUGCGUCACCGCUGCCUCCGGUGGCCUUUGGCCACUAUUUUCGUAACUUUCCGGCAACAUCAGCCGCAUGGAAGGUGGCUGGGUUGAUGUAUGUCUAGAAUAUACGUUGUUGUUGGUGUUAUUGUUGCUGUAUAAGCCAUUUUUGGCUGGAAAAUCAAUGAAGGUCCGUCACUACCAUCAUGAGGUGGUGGCUGCUGUAGCCGAUCCUUCGCCAUCUAAAUGCCACAAUUUCGCUGCCGGAGACUCUGUGAACAACCCGAAAAACCGUUGAAGGUCGACAAAAGGAUGUGUUCACAGCAGCAAGGGCGCGAGCUACCGAGAGGCUUCAGGUAAGACCAUCUGCCACUUCUCUCUCUCCUCCCCUCCGUCCCUUUGUACGUGUUCGACGUCAGAUGCGUCUCCGCUGCCUCCGGUGGCCUUUGGUCACUAUUUUCGUAACUUUCCGGCAACAUCAGCCGCAUGGAAGGUGGCUGGGUUGAUGUAUGUCUAGAAUAUAUGUUGUUGUUGGUGUUAUUGUUGCUGUAUAAGCCAUUUUUGGCUGGAAAAUCAAUGAAGGUCCGUCACCACCAUCAUGAGGUGGUGGCUGCUGUAACGCCCGUGUUUCUAGGCUAGGCAUUAAUAUUGACAUAAUGGUCUAGGUUAACCUUUGUAACUCAUUUAGAAGAAAUGAAAAGGAAUUAUGUGAAUUUUAUGUGAAUUANGGCCCCCCGCCGUGAGCCACCGCCGACCACCACCGCCGAGGUGGCAGUGGGUGGUGUCCGGCCUAAUGGAACCCUAAUUGGCCCAGUAGCUUAAUCUUGGACUCAGUAGGAUUGUGAUUGGAUUGGAAACCCUAAUUAGGGUGUAACACCGUGAAUUUUCAAAAUAAUUUUUCACAAAUAUAUAAAAACAUUUCCCAUUUAAUUUUCAUAAAAUAUUAAGUUUAAAAUCUAAAUUCACAUCAUACAAAAUCCCAAGAUCAUAUAUAUAUAUAUAUAUAUAUAUAUAUAUCAAAAUUCCCAUGCGUGUGUACAGAUCAAGCCGACGCCUUCCCACGGUCGUCACUAGUACCUGAAACAAACAACACCAACACUGCAAGCACGAAGCUUAGUGAGUUCCCCAAAAUACCACACAUAACACAUAUUAGCCACUCGAGGCUAUAACUCUGUGGGUCCGUAGACCCUACUCUGUGAACCCACUGGUUCUAACUCUGGGAACUUUCUGGUUCCAACUCUAUAAGCAUGCACAACAUAAAUCACAUAGACAUCAUGCGGUACAACACAUAACAUACAUAUAACAUACACAUACUCUGUCACAUAACUCUGAUUACCUACUCAAGGUAAAGUAUAGUGAGAAGACUCACCUCGUAUAUCUCGAUAACUCGCGAACCCUGGAAAUCACUCGUGCUCGAUCCUCCGAGCUAUAAUCCUCCUAUAACAUCAUAUAUCUCUAAUUAACACUUUUACCACUAAGGUUGACUACCCCUAUCAAGUCAACACUAUCAACUCUGGUCAACAGUCAACGGUCAACUUUGACCGGACUCGGCGAGUGAACUAGGGCGACUCGGCGAGUCUAUACGUGUUCACUGACUCCCUAGGAUCCUCUCUUGACACGUCGAGUACUCCCCAGACUCGACGAGUUCCACCUGGCAUGAAUCGCGGGGCCACCACGACUCAACUCGCUGAGUCUCAAGAACAACUCGGCGAGUUCCAGCUCGACUCAGUCCACCUGUCAACCCUCUCUAACUCUCCAUGACUCUUUGAGUCAACCCAUAACUCGGCAGGACCACUCGCUGAGUGGUUAAGGACAAUCNCCCUUAACUCGGCAAGACCACUCGCUGAGUGGUUAAGGACAAUCUUCAUGCUACUCGCCGAGUCUGUUCUUCAGACUCGGCGAGUCCAUGCCAUGCAUCAACUCAAGCUUGCUUCUGAGGUCAGAUCCGUUCCAACAACUCAUAGAUCUGGCCCUCCUAAGCUUAUUCAUCAUGUAAAGUCCAUAUCUUGGUGCUCAUAACACACCCCAUGACUCAUAACUGGUGUUUUGACCUCAAGCACAAAGACCCCAAUCCAAAACCCCCAUGGAUUCAUAACAAGCUUGGGCAAAGGGACACUCUGGACCUCCAAGGGUCCAGGUCUAGAACCUAACUCGCUUAAGGGACCAAGGAAGCACUAGAUCUAGCCACAAAAGGGCUCAACAAGCCCUAAAUCAAUAUAAACAUCAACAUAACAGAGAAUAGCUCGAAGGUAGUACGUCAAAUGUGAUGUUCUUGACCUCAAAUCUUCAGGAAGUGGCUCCUCAUGGUUCCCUUUAGCUAUUGCUUCCUUUCCCUUGCAAGAUGACACCUCCAAGGUCAAUAAUGGCUUCUUGCUUUUGCUCCAAACGCUCAAAAUCGCUAGGGUUUCACUCAGGGGACUUGUGAGCACAGAUGACGGCCUUAAGGCCCUUUAAAUAGGUCCCAAACCCGAGAAAUUAGGGUUUCAUUAAACAGCACGGACUCGCCGAGUCCAUACCUUGGACUCGCCGAGUCCAGGCGUGAACCUGCGUCUAGAACCGCGAUCCUACUCGGCGAGUCUGAGCUCCAACUCGCCGAGUCCCCUCACAAAACACCAAAAACUUAAGCAUAAAAGAUACCUGGAAAUCCGGGCUCUUACAUAGGGUUUACAAAACCCUAACUCUGGGAAUGUUAGUUUGGGAAUUACCGGGACUCGCGUUUAGACUAUUAUAUUGGAAUUUUGAUUUAUGUCCAACUACAUUGUCUGAAUGGCCUAAUGGAGUGAUUGAUUUUGUUGGAUUAAGUGUUUAAUGGGUUAAGUCGUUAUUGGGUUAAGUAAGAUUACUUCACCCUAAUUGUCAUUUCAUGUGAGAAAACCUAAUUUUGCUUGGGCCUUGAGUUUAGCCUUUCUAUUGGGCUUUGGUGAUUGGGCUACUGAUGGACCAUCAAAAAACAAGCAUAUGGACUAUAAUAUUUGGAUUGAGCUUUAGGAUAAGGCCUAUUGGAUUAUACUUGGGCCCAAUUAGGAAAUUAGACCAUAGAUGGACCAUAACAGGGCCUUGAUGAUUAUGAGAUAUUGGAUCAGUAGGCUGCCAAGUGUUUCAACCAUAAUAAAUGGUUGGGCCUUCAGGUAACACCCUGUUGAGGUUUGGGCCCAAUUUUGAAAAUUGGGCCAUAUGUUGGGCAUCAGUUCAUUGUUUGACUUUUGGCCUUUAGAUUGGGCCUUCGACGGGUCUUCAACGGUGUGAGGUGAGUUUCCUUCAGUAGGAAUGGGUCGAAGGCACCAAUGGCAGCCCAUAUAGUUUAUAUGUUCUUGAUAGGAACAUGAGGUUUGGGUGGGGGCGUAUCUUACUAUUACUUGAGUAUAGAUAUUAGUCAGAUUGUUGGAUUGUUAUACUUGUAUUCUAUGUGAUACCGGUAUGUGUUGUUAGGAAUGUGAGUUUGGGCGGGUCUCGUAUCUUAUAGUAGCAAAGUGUGGAUAGGGCCCGUAUCUCAUUGAGUGUGGGCGGAGCCCGUAUCUCCUAGUAGCAUGAUUAGUUGUAUGGUAUGUGGUAGUUUGAGGAGACUCACUAAGCUUCAUGCGGAAAGUUUUUAGUUUUGGUUUAGGUACUUCUGUUAGCAAGGAGAACAGAUCGGGAUGAUUAAGUGCACACAUCAUUUGUUUAGCCUGGGAUAUUAAUACUGUGAUAUAUUUUGACAAAUGUUAUGAUAUUUUGAGGUACAAGAUUUACUGUUUUUAUAUGAUGUUUGGACUACUAUGGUUUUAUUAAUGAUUUAAAAUGAAAAUUUUCGACUGUAUAUUUAGGAUGGUUCAAGUUGGUAUCACAACCUUGGUUUGAGGGAUUCGGGCACACUCUCGUGUGUGUCUGAACUCAAACUGAGGACUUAGUAUGCAAAUUUUCAAAAGAAAAUCAUUUUUACAAAAGAACUUUGAAAGUGAAAAGGGUUUUAGAAAAGAGAAAACGGGUGUGGUGCAUGCAAUCAACCAAUCUCAAGUAUGUACUCCCAAAUUACCCGUACGAGUGUAUGUUAUGAUAUGAUUAUGAGAACUUCAUGCUAGAUUGGGGCUAAGGAUCUAGGAAUGAUACAUUGUAUGCCAGUUAUAUGUGUAUGAGAACUGCAGGCUAAUUAUGGCUAAGGAUCUAGGAAGGAUGCCUUAUGUGCCUACUAUAUGAGCUUGUUGAGUUGUAUGCUAGUAUUGAUUAGUCAGUCAUAUGAUGGCCUGAUUAGAGUAUGAUUGAUUGUAUUUACUUAAUUCUCGAAUAGUUCUUGCUUCUUUCUAUUAAGAGUUCUAGUUACCUCUAACUAACUAGUAAAUGAAUAUGGUAAGUUACAUAUUGUGAGGACUAAAUAAUUUCAGAAGGUUAGGUUUAGCUCUAUUUCGCAGCUCUUGUUUGAGUCCAACCGUUGUAGCAGAGAGUGGAUUGGUAAUUACCCUAGGGAAAGCCUAGGCUGAGAGUAGCAGAGAACAAUAGUAGCAGUAGAAGGGACUUGAUGGAGUCAAGGCAAUUCUUGAGGUAAGCACAUAUAGAUGUGGAAGGCAGUAUGGGACCGUACUAUUCAAAGAAGAGGAUCUGUACUCAAACCAAGGAAGGCUGAGAUGAACCCAGGGAACUUGUAGUUUGUGAGAUCCCUCGAGUUAUGAUGAGUAUUCUAAUGAUUAUUCUGGUAUAUUUCCGAGUAUGGAGACGCUAUGUGGUAGACCAGAUGUCAGAUUUGGUGUUGGCAAGGGAUCAGGCUCCGACUCUAGAGCCGGGCAGCUUGAUGGUUAGAUGAGGGAGUUCAUUCCAUCUAAGAGUACGCACAGUAUCACUUAACAGACUCCCGUUGUCUUCAGUGUUCAAGGAGGGAAUUUUAGAGAUUUGUGAUAGGAAGCUGAGAACAUUCUACACUGAAAUACCAACCAUGAUAGGUACGCAUACGUUGAUGAAUCAGGAGUUCAGAGCUCAUGAAGCUCCAGAUUAUCAUGGGGCUAGGAACCCCAUUGCUAACAGAAGAUGGUUGGCAGAUGCCGUGAAAACUUUUCGUACCAACCGUUUCCUGAGAGGAACAAGGUCGAAUUUACUUCCUGUUUCCUGAAGGACAAGGCACUUGAUUGAUGGGAAGCGGUUGGUAGUGAGUUGUGUGAUGAUGCGGUCUAUGCUAUGUCAUGGGAUGACUUUUUGACCAGAUUCCAGACAAAAUUUGCACAGGGAUUAAUGCACACCAGUUGGCGCAAGAGUUACUAGAUCUCCACCAGACUACUGAGAUUGUGGCAGCGAUCACUGCCAAGUCUCGGGAGAGAGCUUCUUUGGUACCGCAAUAUGCAGCGGAUGAGGAAAUGAAGAAGGUAAGGUAUCCGAACAUAAUGCAGAAUGAGAGCAGGUAGAACGUGAGUAUUUCGAGGUGCGAAACCCUAAAAGAUAUGACUUCUAGAACCGGAUAAUGAGAUAUUGAUUUUGAGCACAUUGGGAAGAGGGAACCAGAUUAGUUGCAUAUAUUGAAGGGUCUCGGGAAGAGACCCAAGAUUUCGGAUCAACUUAUAUGAUUUGGAUCAGCUUUUGAGAGCCCAGCAGGGCCACAUUUAGUGCAGCACUUGCGAGUAACUACACGAUGAAGUGUUUUUCACUCCAAGGGAUUGGGUAAGGGUACACUUAGCUUGCUUCCAAGUUUGUGUUAGCGUUAUACCUUCAAGUGAUGCCAAAUGCCAAUUGCAUACCGAGAAUUAUUAGUGGGUAGCAAAAGGUUAUUUCCUUAAUUGUGGGAUUCAGAGUGGACAACGUCAUCAUGGUUUAUGGUCGAGAUCAAAUCAUAAGUGUUCUGUGGAAGGUCUGCAGUAAGGGUUCCGCUGGAUGGUUAUCCAAUAUCAUCAGGAUUUGGUGGUCCUAGUAACUGUUACUGAUUGGCUGAUGGAGGUACUAAGGAAAGUGGUUCGUUGCUGAGAUAUUGGCAGGAGCAUUUGUCUUUCAGUCUUCAAGAUUCGAGUGUGGUAUCAUUUCAAACUUUUUCAGUUACUAGUAUUGUUAGGAAUUCUCCAAAUUUCAUGUAUUGUGAAGACUUAGUCGAAUCUAAGUAGGGGAGAAUCGUUCAGGGAUUCGGAAACAUGAGCAGUUUUGGAACUGGGAUAAGUUUGGCAUCCUUGUCAGAAUGAAGAUAGUCCAAGCUGCUAUAUGGAUUGAGGAUAGUUUGAGUUGGAAGUUCAAAAAACUUGACAAUAAUGAGAUCGCGUUCUCGGAAUGUUUGAUAGCAGGCCUUAGGGGAUCAGGUUGAGGAUUCCACUCAGGACAUUGAUGUCACUUUUGCAUGUUAGGUCGUGUGUAUGCUCGAGGUUGGAUGUGUUUGGAUUAGUAAUCAGCGAUGGAGACAGUGUGGAAAGUGUUGUAAGACUGUGGGAUACCCGUAGCAUUCACCAGCAACGAGACAACAUGGAAAGUGUUGUAAGACUACGGGAUAGCCGUAGAAAUCACUAGUAGCCGGAUAGUAUGGGAAGUGUUGUCAGUCUGCGGGUGUAGUCCUACCAUUCACAAGGUUAGCAGAUAGUGCUAGAAGUGUUGUAAGUCUGCGUGACGUAGCCGCAACAUUCAUAAGGUUGGCAGAUAGUGCUAAGAGUGUUGUAAGUCUACGGGUGUAGUCGUAGCAUUCACAAGGUUGGCAGAUAGUGCUAGAGUGUUGUAAUUACGUUGGUGUAGCCGUAACAUUAACUAGGUUAGUAGAUAACAUGGUCUUUGGUGAAUGGGCUACUGAUGGGCCAUCCAAAAACAAGCAUAUGGACUAUAAUAUUUGGAUUGAGCUUUAGGAUAAGGCCCAUUGGAUAUGCUUGGUGCCAAUUGGGGAAACUAGGCCAUAGAUGGACCAUAACAGGGCCUUGAUGAUUAUGAGAUAUUGGAUCAGUAGGCUUCCAAGUGUUCGACCAUAAUAAUUGGUUGGGCCUUCAGGUAACACCCUGUUCAGGUUUGGGCCCAAUUUUGAAAAUUGGGCCAUACGAUGGGCAUCAGUUCAUUGUUUGACUUUUGGCCUUUAGAUUGGGCCUUGAGCUUUAAUCAAGCUAAGUUGGGGGUAAAGUAGUCUUUUACCCCAAACAUGGAUUUAUGGUUACGUUAUGGCACCCGAUUAUUAAUUGGGUGUUAUUUUUAUGUUGACAGUUCGAGAGUCUGUCAUUCAGCAGCUAGAGUUUUGAUCGCAGGGCUUCAACAGUGUGAGGUGAGUUUCCUUUAGUAGGAACAGUUCGAAGGCACCAAUGCUAGCCCGUAUAGUUUAUAUGUUCUUGAUAGGAACACGGAGUAUGGGCGUGGCCCGUAUCUCAUUAUUACCAGUGUAUAGAUGUCAGUCAAAUUGUUGGACUGUUAUACUUGUUAUUUGUGUGAUACCUGUAUGUGUUGUUAGGAAUGUAAGUGUGGGCGGGGCUCGAAUCUCAUAGAGUUUGGGCAUGGCCCGUAUCGCAUAGUAAUUAGAGUUCUCUAAAUCGCCCAUAAUUUCCAUGUUUUUGACAUAUCAGAAAAAAUGAAUUUUGUUUCAUAUAAUAUGGGGUAUAAAUAAUUGUGUUAAACAACAUUGUACUAAACUAAGAUGGUAAAAAAUGGUCAUUUUACCCCUAAAUGCCACUUGUUUUGUUUCGCUCUUGUUUAUUGAUUAAUACUGAAAGUUAGCGGUGGAUUAUAUAGUUUCAGACGAGGAGUCUAGGGUUUCUUGGUGUUACUCAUGAAGCAAUACCAUGUAAGAGAUGUUUGAUACAAUUAUCAUAUUACCUAUGGUUAGUUUUGGUAAGUUCAUUAAAUCCAACAUUAGUUUUCAAAGUUAGACCAAUUAUACAAAUAUAUAUUGAUAAAUCCAAAUAUAUUUUAAACGCGAAGUCGCAAUAAAUAUAGCACCACUAGAAAUAAAAUGACAUUUUGUGGCACAGAAAAUGUGCCACUAAAAACCAAAAAUGUUCCACUAAAAGCCUAGUUGAUAUUCAGCGGCACAAAAAAUAAGUAUCACUAGAAGCGUUGCCACUAAAAACCUUUAGUGACAUUUUUUGAUUGUGUCGCUGCAACACUUGUGGGUUUUAGUGACACUUUUUUAUUCCACUAUAGCCCUUUUUUGUAGCAUUUUUAUGCCACCAUAUAAUUGCAAAAAUAAAAUCAAUUUUUAUAUUUUUUAACAACAAUUAUUUUUACCAAAAAAUAACAAUAUUUACAAAUUAAAUCCAACUUUUUUUAUAUAUUUAAGUGAGAUAUAAAAUAUUAAAAAACAAUUCAUAUAAUAAAAAUAUAAAACACAUAAACAGUACAUAAACUAAAAUUUAACAUGUGUUACAACAAUAUUAUCAAUAGUUAAAACAAAAUACCUUCCAAAAAGCUUAAUAAGUCUACACAUCGUGUUAGUAAUUAAUCAAAACAGAAAACAACAAUAUUCUCAUUAUUUUGAAUAAUCAUCUUCGCCCCCUUGUGUUUGUGGAGUUACAUGGAACAACUUGUAGGAAAGACUACAAAAUAAAACAAUUUAUAAUAGAAGUUAUUAUUAGCAUACCUACAAAAUUAACACAUUGUUAUAGAGAAACAAAUCAAUUUAUGUAAAACAAUUUCAUUGUUAAAAAAGAAGCAUCACAACUAUAGGUAAAAGUGGAAAUAACAACAAAAUUAAAUUCAAUGCUAAUAAAAGCGGGGACCUUGAAGGAGAGAAGUCAACUUUAAUAUGAUGUCAUUUUCUUGAUUUUGUGAAUAUUGGUAUUCUUAGUGUUGAGGCUGUCCACACUUGUAUUUUUCCUUUCUUGGUAAAUCUGAAUGAAAUAUAACGUUAAAAAAAUGAAUAAUAUGUAUUUGGUUUAUUAAUAAAAUAGAAAAAAAUUAAAGCAAACCUUCACGGCUUCAAAAAGUCUCCUCUUUUACGUUGCAUAACAACCUUUGACAUCAUGUCAUCAUCAUAAGUAAGUUGUUGCAAAUUCGCAUCACCUGUGUCUUUAUCAACACUCUUUUUUCGUGUACUGUGUAGGGGUAAUAGGUGUGAGUUAUAUGAAAAAGUGAGUGAGAGUAUUAUAAAUAAUCAAAACUACAAAAUCAAAAUUACAAAUCAAUAGAUGCAGGUUCUAACCAUCUUGAAAAUAUCAAAAUAUUUGAAAAGAUAAAAACAAAUGUAAAUAUGCUAGUAAGUCAUCACUCAUGUAUGAGAUAAAUAUUCAAACAAUCAUAGGACGUGCCAAAUGCUUGAAAUAAACUUACCCUUUUCAUAUUAACCUUUAUUUCUUAAUAAUCCAGUAUAAUUCUAAUAAGAUUUAAAAUGUGAGUUGAGCCAGAUUCAUGAUACCUUGCACGGGUCUUAGUUGAGGAAGUGUAUAGCCGACGAGUCGACGGUGGUGCCAUUGGGAGAUAUUCAGGUGAUUGCAUGCCUGAAUUAUGUUGAGAGGCCGGUGGCGAUUGUGGAUCGAAAGAUCAAGGUUCUGAGGAACAAGGAGGUGCCCCUAGUUCAAGUCCAGUGGCAGCAUCAGAGAGGAUACGAGCUGACUUGGAAGCCGAAGUUGGAGAUGCGGGAGCAGCGUCCAGAAUUGUUUGUGGAGCAAGACUUUGAGGGUGAAGUCUGAUUCUAGUGGGGGAGAAUUGUAAAAUCCGGAUUUCCAGGUAUUAUGUUUGAUCAUGUAUUUGUGUAAAAGAGAGGGACUCGACGAGUUGACGGUUACACUCGUCGAGUAGGAUCGCAUUUGCUGACUGGAUUAAUGAGCGGAACCGAUGAGUUGGAAAGGGGGGACUCGACGAGUCCACGCUGUAGGCUGAAAACCUAAAUCUCCAGGACUGAGCCCUAUUUAAAGGACCUUAUACCCUCUUGUGCGGCUACCUGUCCAGAGAGAGUGCCCCUUGAGAGCUUGAGCAAGUUGAGAGAGUGAUAAGGCCAUAUUGAUCGGUUUUGGUGUGAUUUAGCAAAGGAGAAGUUGUUUCCAGCAAGAGGAGGUCAAGGGAGUUGUGGAUCCGGAGUUUUCAAGUUCACAUCUACACUGUUGAGGUAUCAAAUCGAACUUUCUGUCUAUUUUGGGUUUAGAUCUAUGAUCUAGGGUUUUCUAUAACCUUUUAGGGCUUGAAAAGUUGAGUUUAUGGUCCCUUGUUGUGUUAGAACUCGGAUAUGGACCCAUAGAGGUCUAGAGAGCCUUCCCAAUUGUGCUUUAUGUUGGUUUAUGGAGGAAAAGAGACUAGGUUGCCAUUUUAGAAGCGAUUUCACCAAGGAAAGCCUUGGCUUCAUUGCAUGUGAGUCGAGUUCCGACCUUUACAUGGUUAUUGGUCAUGGGGAACUCAGAUCUAUAGUAUAGAGAAGCAGAUCUGACCUCAGAAGGUCAUUUGAGAGUCGUUAUUGGGGCAACUCACUGAGUCCAUAAGUGGAUUCGACGAGUCGAGACGGGGUUGCCCCGUGAUUCGUUGCAGAGUAACCAGGCGAGUGGAGAAGGGUCUCGAUGUGCCAAGUGAGGCUUAGAAGGAUUCAAGGGACCCGCGUGGACUCGUCGAGUCGCUCGAGUGCACUCGACGAGUCUAGUCAAAGUUGACCGUUGACUAGAAUUGACUUUGUUGACUAUUGGGGUUUAGUCAAUGUUUGAACUUUUGAGCGAUUGGAGGGGUAGAAUGGGCUUUUAGCCUCCUUAGAGAGCUUAGAGAGGGAUUAGCCUAGUCUUUGAAAGUUGUAUUGAUUAGAGUAAUUAUUUUAUGUUAUUAGGCGGAGGCUAGAUCAGUAUUUCCGAGUACGAGGGUUUUCAAGUUAUCCGAGGUGAGUCUUCUCACUAUACUUUACCUAGAGUGGUAAUUAGAGUUAUGUGACAAAGUAUGUUGUAUGAUAUUAAAUGAUGUGAUAUCUAUGUGAUUAUGUGCUAUAUGUGGUUCAGAGUUUACAGAUUCAGGUCCAAAAGGUCCACAAAGUUAGGACCAGAGGGUCCACAGAGUUAUGGCACUGGAGGGUCCCACUGAGGCACGUAUUGUCUCUUCCAACCCAUUAAAGUCCAACCUCUUUCUUAACAGAUCAUUAGCAUCUAGGAAACAAUGAUGACCGAUAUAUACGACUCUAUUUGUUCUACGGUACGAAGGAGUGUCUUCAUUGCAUGUAGCACAUACUUUAUACGCUUGCCAAACCCAGAAAAUUAUGGUUUCCUAAUUUGGCAAGUACGCUCACUAUGCAAUGAGUACGCCAUGCGUACUAGGGUGCGCCCUAGUAUAAUCAGCGUACACCACAUACGCAUGGCGUACUGCAAAUCCCCAAAAAUUACAAUAAUACUAUUAGGGUUCCAUCGCAUACUUUCUUGAACUAAGGGACCAAAAUGCAACCUAAAUAAAUUAAAGGACUAAAAUUAGAUGCCCCUUCGGGAUGUUACACACAUGGUUUUUCUUUAUCAUGAGAUAAAGAACUUGUUUCAUUUAUCUUUUUGAAAAACCUUAACAUUAUAAUUGGAUUAAAAAACUAAUCGUCACAAAGUCAUACAAUUUCAGAAAUUCUAAAUCUAAUUAUAAUAUAAACAAUUAAUGUAAGUUUACUACACAUCUAUUAGUUUUAGAGGAUCACUGUUGAUAUCAUAAAAGUCAAAAUCAAACUAUUAAUUAAACAUAUAAUACAACUAUACUCCAUUUAAUGAUUGUCGAAUAAAUCAAAUUUAAAGCCAUAAAUGAUGAACCAUUGUAAAGUAAUUUGGUAAAAUGAUAAACUUCAUUUAUUACAUGUAAUUUGAUAAAAGGUAAUGGUAAAUAUGAUUUAUGCUAUUUCGGAAUAUGUUGUUGUCUAUGGCAUGCUAUUAACAAUACUNNNNNNNNNNNNNNNNNNNNNNNNNNNNNNNNNNNNNNNNNNNNNNNNNNNNNNNNNNNNNNNNNNNNNNNNNNNNNNNNNNNNNNNNNNNNNNNNNNNNNNNNNNNNNNNNNNNNNNNNNNNNNNNNNNNNNNNNNNNNNNNNNNNNUAUAUAUAUAUAUAGAGAGAGAGAGAGAGAGAGAGAGAGAGAGAGAGAGUGUGUGUGUGUGCAAGUCCAUUAAACAACUUCCACUAUGUACGACCUUCUUCAGAUGUCGAGUUUAAAAGUUUAUAAAUUAAAAAAGAAAGUGGGUUGAACAUAGACUCAUAAAAAAUGGAGAGUUUGAGACAGUAUGUGGUGAUAGGAAGAUGAAGUUCAAGAUUUUCAUUCAUCGGAGAGUGGUAGAUGAUUGUCUCGCUGCACACCAAACAACGUUGAUGGGCUUAAGUGCGGUUACGGACGGCGACAACGAGUGAAGAUUAUGUAACUUUUGUUUUUUUAGGGUUUAUGUAUUUUUUGUCUUUUGAUCUUUU